UAAUUUAAUGGAAAAUACCACUAAUCCGACACCAUAUUCCUGCAAAAUUAAAAAUGAUUAAAGGGAAUCAUGAAUUAACAAUAUCCUUUCACAUUUGAGACAAAAAAAAAAAAAAAAAAAAAGGGUCUUAUCCUACAAGCACAAACAUGAUGGAAAACAACAUGGUGGCAGUACAUAUCGCUAUAUCCAAUUGUACUGACAAUGCAAAAAUACAAACUAUCAACCACAUUGUGAUCCCAGAGCCCUUAAAAUUAUCGCUAUUAAAAGAAUAUAUAACCACACCAAGAAUCAAGUAUAUCAUCAAGAGGACAACAACUUGUCUUACAAUUGCCGUUUUGCCAAACUGGGGUGGCUUCGAUACCAAUUAAUGAUGGAAUUCAUUGAUGACAACCAUGAGUCCUGCACCUGUGGAGAUUACUCUUGAGCACUGAAUCGUUAGGAUCAAUCAACCAAGAUUGCCGGUUUUCCAUAUCAAGAUUGGAUUUUGGUAGAGUUGCAGAAUCAAGGCAAAGAAAAAUUCCCAAUUACACCACCAAGCAGAAAACUUAGAUCAAAUUUAUGUUAAGUAAAAUUUAAUCAAAGGAAAGAAGUUAAUACCUCACAGCAUCCUCAAGACUAGUGUUUUCAUGCACAGUAAUGAGAGCAGCAGUCAUAAGGUUGCCAACAUCCUGCAAAAUGGAAGCAUCAUUCACAUGUAACUCGGACUAACGAAAUUCAAUUAAAGUCAAGGUUCAAAUUUAAAAAUGGAAAGUCAAACCUUUUUGCCUUAGUAUAUCUUGUUUCUCGAGUUCCUUUCAUGUCUUCUUUUCAUAAGGUUGAACCUCCUUUCCACUUUUAGCUCCAUAAUGAGUAAUCCAAGGCCACGCUUAAUGCUAUCAUCGAGAAAGUCACAGUAAUAUAUGCAAAACAAUAACCCAAAUAAAAGCCUAAAGUGUCAAUUAGAAAGAUCAAACUUUUAACUAAUGAACCAUGUGCAAAACAAAAACUUGAUAAAAAUCCGAAUCUAAACUAUUUAAUGUCUUAACGGCCAAUAAAUGAUAAAACCUUAACCACCCACAUCAAGUACAGUGCUAUCACCAAAAAAUUGCUUUACCUAAAAACACCUAAAGAAAAGAACAAAGUUCCAAUUAAAAAGAUCUUCGAUUGGUGAUGCUUUGAGCUCAGCAGGAAUGUCACGGGAAGGGCUUAGCCAACCCAUGACAUCAUCAGGUUGUCUAUCUCACUCUGCUAGCCAUGAUUCAUUUGGUUCUGUUUUGGGUUCAGCGGGAAUGACACAGAAAGGGCUUGGCCAACAUGUGAGUUCAUCAGGUCGUCUCUCACGCCCUGCUAAAUCAGUGAAAGACUCCUUUAGUAUAGGCAAGCAAUGAGGCGAGUUUCUCUUCAUAUAAUUUCAUAAUUUUAAAAAUAAAUUCUACGAAGAAAUCCAAUCUAACAUAGACAAAAACACCAAAUAAUAAAACUAAAUAUAAAUCACAGUUUGAUAACGGGCAAAUCCUACAUCCAAUGGAAGCCAAAUCUUAAUAAACAACAUUCAAUCAAUCCAAACCAUCAUCUCCUGGCAAAUACGAAUAAACAUCUACUCGAAAACUAAAUAGAGCCAAGAAAUAUAGUACUGACUCGCGUCCAUGGGAAUCUUCUGAGCUGGUUGAUGAAUAUGGAAAUUUUCCUUCCACCGGAAUUGUGCAAAGCCCACAUGAGAACUGUCACACUCUUCUUCACAUCUCUUUGUAAAUGGGUGGAGAUGGAAUUCGUGCUCCAGCUCCUCAAUUUCACUCAUUGCGAGGCUGUUUUCCGAAAUCAACGCGAAGUAUCAAUCUAUGGUACCUUUUUUCUGUUAAUGAGCGACGGAAAUUCAAACAAAACCAUCAAAAAUUGAUCAAAAGGGUUUAUACAUUCGGAGCGGAGAGUCUCCCUUGAUAAAUAUACAGAGAUCAAAUAGGAGGCAGAUAUGGAAAUUGACAUUAAUAACGAUUACAAGAAGGAAUUAUUACCAUAGUCUGGGAUCUGUGGAUGUGGCUGAGCAUUGAUAAGGAGACUUUUCUAUUUGACACGUGAGUAUUCCUUUUCAUGAAAUAUCGGUAUUACCGAAAUGAUUUUUUUUAUAUUGUAACAUAGGUCCUAAUUUUUUAAAUAUUUUAUCUUUUAUUUACUCUAUUUUAGAUAUUUAAAUUAAAAAUCAUUCUAUGAUCUAAUAAAUAAGAAUAAUCUGCAAUAUAUAUAUCAUAUUUUUUUAAUAAAAUAUCAUAUUCUUCAAAUGGUAAAUUUGUAUUUUUUAAUUGAGGUAUAAUAUUCUUUAUUUCUUCUAAUAUUCUUUCUAAUAAAUUAUCUAAUCCUUCAACUGUAUAUCCUGACAUUUAUCAAAAUAAUCAUCAUCUUAAAAAGAUUCAUUCUAAUUUUAGCAAAAAUUUAAUAGUUUUACCUUAAGUUUGAUCUAGAUUUGUAUUCUUAGAACCGAGUGACCUUCGAGCUCUGAAUUUGUAAACUGCUUCCUUCAACGGCCUUCUGCCUUCACAGAAUUGUUACUAUUUCAGUUACUUGCUCUUACUAUAUCAACUUCUAAAGAAUAAAAUCCUAGAUUUUUGUUAAAGAAAAACUAUUUUUUGCUAAAAUAAGAAGAAAACUUUCUAUUAGAUCCUUCAAGAAUCUAUGGGAAAAAGAUUUAGAAAAAUAUGUUGAUAUCAAAAUAUUGGAAUUUUAUUUCUAUCUGGAUUGAUACAAGACUUCUAUUUGGUAUGAAGGGAUUUCCAGAAAAAUUGGUUUUUCAAACUGUGAAUGGGCUAUUGCUUACAACUCGAGAAUUCAAGAUAGGACGAGAUGAUAUUCUUCUAUGGUAGUGUCUCUAUUUAUACAAGUUUUUGAGACUCUAUUACAUCAUUCAAUAUAUCAGCAAGACACACUUGCCUUUCUAUUUUCUUCCUUGGGCCUACAUCUUCACAUGCUGGUUCAACUUUUUUAUCUAAAGAGCAUCUUUUUCUAUUAUUGCUCUUUAUCUUCAAUGUCUUCACAUGUAGUAUUAUUGUCCUUCAUACACCUUUGUCAAAAGGUGUUUUGUAUUCUUCUUUUAUUUUUUCACAUGCAGUUGGGGCAUUUCUUUAGCUGGCAGGAUUCUUUUAUAGUGGUAGGACAUUCUAGAAAUUGAUGUAUAUCAAAUCUUGUAAUAUAGUCUUUUAAAAUUUCUGAUUUUGCAUAUCCUCCAUUGGAUACCAACAUCCAAUUUUCAUAUUGGCACAGGCAUAAGAAUUUUUUAUCAAAUAAAUUUUUGGUAAUAUUGUAGAUGGCUUUAAUUUCAAGUGCUCUUCUAUGUCUGAUCCAUGAUUUUGUCACUGUUGGGACUUUUCUAUUAUUCUCUGUAACAUCAAUUCAGAAAUUGGCCGCAACAUAUCCAAUUGAGAUUAUGUGUUCAACUGGAUAGUAAACAAUUCCAUCAUAUUCUGGAUUGAUUAAAUAUAAUUUUAAAAAUAUAUUCCUUCUCUUGGCAAAUCUAGAUACUUCCUUAAUGAAUAUGUCAUCAAACUUUGAAAUUACAAUAAAAUCUUUUCCUGGAUAAAUCAAAUCCAUGAAUCCACAGUCUGUCAUGAUUUUUACAAAUGAAGGGUCACCUCCUUCCAUGGCUGUUAUUCUGGGAUUAACAUUAUUUUCCGGAGAAAUGAAAUAUGAAUCACUUAUUUUUAUUGCAUAAGCAAUUUUGACUAUUUCGGCAUAUUUUUCUUCGUUUGGAUUUAAAGGGAUUUUAUCUUCUUGGUCUAUGAUGCUGAUUGUUUUGAUAUCUCUUUUAUCUCCAUGUAUCAUAAUUUUCUUGGUUGAUAAUACAGAAAUGGAAUCUCCUUUAUUAUCAAUUGGUAUGUUGUCACGUCUAGGUCCACUGCUGCUUCCAGCUGUCCCUAUUUGGUAUUGAUUUGGAAAACUCAUUUCUGAGCUCUUUGGUAUAUCUGUUUCAAACAGUAUAUUUUUUAGUUGUGCUGAAAUAGUAUCAAUUUGAUUUUUGAUUUCUAUGGCAUAUUUACGAUGCUCAGUAGUGAUAUUCAACAAUAUUUUCAUAUUUGAGUUGAAUAUCUCUGAAAUCUGGGUUGCUCCAAAGCUUAUAUCUUCAGAUUCUUCUUUAAGAAAAUUUGUCCUCUCUUGUAUAUGUAUAAUAGAUUGGUAUACCUCCAUGACAUUGACUUUAUCCAUCAGCAAAUUUUAUGCUUCUGCUGAGAAAAUCUGCAAGAAAAUUAUUAACUCUUUUAAUAUGGACUAUAUCAAAAUUAUAAAAUGCUAAAUAAGCUUGCCAUCUAUGAAGCCUUCUGUAUUGUGGUUAUGGGGGUAACUUAUUCCUUACUAGUCCUGCAACUUGAGAAUUAUCAGUUUCAAUAAUAAAUUUCUUGGAUAAUAAAAACAAUGAGAACUUUUUUAUUCUUCUAAUAAUUGCUAGUAAUUCUUUUUCAUGAGUAGUAUAAUUUAUUUCUGCUUAGUUAAAUGUUCCAGUUGAGUAUCUACAAAUUACAUUAAGAUCUAUUUUUAAUAUUGCUGUCCAAUAUUUAUCUGAGGCAUCAGUAUUAACAAUCAAAUUAUCUUUUUCAUCUGGUAAUCUUAAUUUUGGUAAAUUUUUGCAUUCUUCUUUUAAUGAUUUAACUAUUUCUGUAUGUUCUUCAUUCCAUCCCUUAGUAUUUGUUUUUCUAAGUAAAACUUGGAUUUUAUGUAUUUUCUUAGAAAGAUUUUCAAUAAAUUCUUUUACAUAAUUUAAAUAUCUUAAAAAAUUUUGAAUUUGUUCCUUGGAUUCUAAUUUAUCUGAAAAACUUUCUAUCUUUUUGGAUAUAUGAGUCUGUAAUUUUAUCCCUCUUUUAUCUAUUGAUAAUUCAAGAAAGUCUAUCUCUUGUUUUUCUAUUAUAGAUUUUUUUUUAGAUAGUACAAUUUUUUUCUUUUUUACAUUCAUUAAUAAACUAGAUUAAAUGAUUUAUAUACUUUUCUUUACUAUUAGAACAUAUUAAUAUAUCAUCAAUAUAAACUAUUAGGAAUUCGUUAAACUUUUUAAAUAUAUUAUCCAUCUUUUUUUGAUAUAUUUGUGGUGCAUUUUUCAAACCAAAUGGCAUAACUAACCAUUCAUAUUUUCCUUGAGGUGUGCUAAAUGCAGUAUAUUGUAUACUAUCUUUUUCUAUUUUUACUUGCCAAAAUCUUGAUUUACAAUCAAAUUUAGAAUAAUAUUAUUUUUUUCUUACAAGAUUUAUUAGUACUUCUUUAUUUGGUAGAAAGUAACAAUCAAAUUUAGUAUAUUUGUUUAAUUCUUUAUAAUUUAUAACCAUUCUACCUUUUCCUCUAACUUGUUCAGUGUGUUUCAUAACCAUAAAGGCUAGACUACUAUGAGGUCCAUUACUGGGUCUAAUAAGUUUUUGUUCUAACAAUUCUUUUAUCUGAUUUUUAAAUUCUUGUAUAUCUUCUAUUGUAUACAUUAUUGGUCUUACUCUUAUUAUAACAUUUUUCUAUUAAUUCUAUUUUGACUUUUGGAUGAUGUGGUUUCCAAAAUAAUAAUGGAUUUUCUCUAUAAACCUUUUCUAAUUGUUCAAUGAUUUUUUCUAUAUUCAUUUCUAUUCCUGUUUUUAGAACAUUUUUAUAUAAUAUUCUUUUAUUUUUCAUUUCAUUAUUAAGAAUUGGCUUUUUCUCUCAUUUAUCGCCACGCUGGGCUGGCUGAACUCUAUAAGGUUUAAAUUCUCUAAAAAAUUUUAAUAAGUGUCCACAAGGUGUUUGUAACAUUAUCAUAUAAUUAUUUUGUUUAUAAUAUUGAAAUUGUCGUAUGAAAUCAUUUCUUAAUAAUAUAUCACAUUCUAAUUUAUCAUAUUUAUAAAUUUUAUUUAUUGUUACUUGUUUACUUCCAAGAAUUAUAUUAACUUUAUAAGCACUAUUAAUUAUUUGAGUACUUUCUCUUGUAAGACCGGUUAUUUUUAUAUUAGGAUUAUUAUUCCAUGAUUUUAUUUAAAAACUUUUAAAUAUUGUUAUAUCACUUCCUGUAUCUAUUAAAGCACAAGUUAUUAUAUUUGUUUCUACAAUAGUAAUUUGUAUAUACACAACUAAUGGAAAAUUUAUCUGAUUAUUCAUCUGAUUCUUUUUACAUAAUGUAGUUUGUCCAUUAUGAACAAUAUAUAAUCUUUUUCUUUUUAUACUAUAAUCUUCUAAUCCAUUUAGAAAACUCAUUCCUAAAAGUAUAUGAGGAUUUAUAUCCAUACUUUUAUCUAUGUAACAUGGUACUAAAAAAUCUAUUCCUCCUAUUUUUAUUGGUACCUUAACUUCUAAAUCUGUUAUAUGUACUUGUCCAUCAAAAUUUACAUACAUAUAUGGUUCAAUUUUAUGAGUUAUUAGUCCUCUGUUUCUAAUCGAAACUAUAUGACAUUCACUAGCUCCUGUAUGUAUUAAUAUAUUUGGUCCAUUUAUAUUUUCUCUACCAUUAUAAUAUUCUCCUUCUAUUUUCAUGUUCCCAGCAUUCCUAUACAGUUUUACAUCUUUUAUUUUGUUGAUUUCUUCUAACUGGUUUUUAUUAGGUAUUUUAAAACUUUUUGAUCUUUUAAUUAAUUUUCCAUCCUUAAAUAUUAUGUUAUUAAAACAUUCUCCUUCAUUUAAUUCUGUUAUUUCGAGUUUAUUUUUUGCUCUAUUAAAUUCAUAUUCUUCUGGAAUUAAACUUAUUUAUUUAUUUGGUUCUAUUAUUUUACUAAUAUCUUUACAUUCUUUAUGAACUUCAAUAUAUGGUUUAUUGGAAUAAAUAUUUCCAUAAUUAGAAUUGGUAAAUGUGUAUAAAGCUCUAUAUUUUAUAGUCAUAAUUUGAUCACUUGGUUGGAUAAUAUCAUUUCUAUAAAGCUUGAAAUGUAAUCCUAAAACUUCAUUAAAAUUUAUAUCUUUUAAUGAUACACAAUAUUUUGGAUAACAUGUAAAUAUAAUUUUUUGAUAUGCUAAUUUUCCUUCUAUUGUUCCUAAAUGAUUAUCUUUUAAUUUUAUUAUUCUUCCAUCAUGUAAAGUUAUAGUUAUGGGUGAAUAUAUCCCUUCUCUAAAUAGUGAUUUAAACAUUAUUUGUAUUCCUACUAAAUAAAUAUAUUGGAUUUUUUCACUUUGUUUUUUACUAAUCAUCGUCAAUAGUUCAUCAACUAUAUUUUUUUGUUAAAAGAUUUAAUUUAUGUUGUCCAUAAGUUGUUCUUACAUCUAUGAUUUUUUCUAUUUUGUGAUAUUCGUUUAUUACUAUUCUUUUUCUUUUCCAAAUUCUAUCAAAGACUUUCCAUUUUCCUAUUUUUAAGUCUAAUAAUAAUUUUUGCAAUUUUCUAAACUUGUUAUUAUCAAAAGUAACUUUUAAUCCAUAUGCUUAUAUUCCUUUAUAUUCUUGUAUAUUUAUAUUAUUACUUUCUAUUUCUUCAAUCUCUUUAUUCAGAUCCUGAUUCAUCUUCUUCUGUUUCAAUUAUAUAUACUUCUUGAUUAUAAUAUUCUUCAAUAUCCGAUAUUUCUUAAUUCAUCUUUUAUUUUUAAAUAUUCUUUUUGUAAUAUUCUAACUUUCUUUUUAUCACAAUCAGGACUUUAUGAUAUAUUUCUCCACAAUUCCAACAUUUACAUUGGCUUUUAAUUUUCUUAUAAUUCUUAUUUUUCUGUUGGUUAUAUGGGUUAUUUUUUCUUUUGUAAUAUCUUCUUCUAGGUUUUAUAUAUUUUUUAUUAAAAUUUCAAAAAUUUUUAAACUUUUUAUUUUUAUACUUCCUUUUAUUAAUUUUUCUUUCAAAAUUAUAUCCCUAUUGCACAGUGAUUUCUAUAUCUUCACAACAUAUUUUAGUUAAUUUUCCUGAUUUUUUCAUUAAUUGACUUUGUUGACAUAUAUAUGCAAGUCUUUCAAAUAAAAAUUUUAUUUUUGAACCUAAAGUUCUAGGUAUUUCAAUAUUAUCUCUGACAUAUUUUUCAAAUUCUAUUUUAAAAUAUAUUCUCCAAGAACCUGGUAAUUUAUUAUAGUACAUAUUUUGGUAUACUUCUUGAUUUUCAUUACUGUAAAAUUGAACAUAAUAAUAGUUUCUAAACUCACAAGUAUAUUCUUUAAUUUUACACAUAUCACAUAUUAUUAAAUUUAUUAGUUUAAUCAUAGCACUAUCUUUUUCUCUUAUUUCUUCUCUUUCAUCAUUUUUUAUCCAAUUUUCUCCUAAAAAUUCAUCAAAAAUAUAUUCUACUAAUUUUUCUAUUCCUUGUCUAUCUAAUUUUAUUAUUUCUAUUUGUACAUUUCUUUUUAUUAAUGUUUUUGUAUCAUUACUUAUUCCUUCACACCAAUUCUAACAUCUCCUUCAAAGGAUGCUAUUAAGAAAUCUAUUCUUCUUUCAGUACUUUCCCAUGUGUCAUAUUUAUUAUAUAAAAAGAAUAAUAUCAUCGAAUUUGCCCAAGUUAAUAAGGCUUUUUUAGUAUCAUUUUACAAUUUAAAUCUAGUUUUGUUCUUCCAUGAUUAAUUGGUUUAUCAUAAUCAUCAUUUAAUUCAAACUUAUCUUUAUAUUUAUUUCCUUUAGAUGGUUGUCUCUCUUACUUUAUUAUAGAAUUGUCUAUAUGGUUUAAUAUAUAUAGGUGCAUAGCUUUCAUCUGUGUCAUGUAAUUCUUGUUUAAAAGUUCUUACUGGAUUAUGUCCUCCUCCAAUAUUCAUUAAAACUUCGUAUUCACUAAUAUCAGUUAAGUUUAAUUGAUCAAAAUUUUCUAUUAAUAAAUCUAACUAUUCAUUCAUUUUUAUCUUCUUUUUCGUCUAUUUUUAAUUUUCCUAAUGAUUUUUCUCUAAAUUCUUCUUCUUCUUCUAAUAUCUUUGGUAAUAUAUUUUUUUCUAAAUUCAUCAUCCAUGCUUCAUGUUUCUACUACUAUAUUUUAUUUUUCUAUAUAUUUAUUUCCUAUUCAAGUCAUUUCUUUUUCUAUAAGUUUUUUUAUCUAUCUUCUUAUCUUUAUUCUUAUUAUUUUCUUGUAAUUCUCUAAUCUCAAUUUUUAAUAUAUUUAUAUCAUUUCUUGUUUCUUUUACUUCAUUUCUCAAAUCUUGUACAUCAUUUAUUAACAUUUUUAUUAAAGAUUUUAAUUCUUCCAUAUUCACUUAUUGACAUCUUAAUUUUUUCUUAUUUCGAACUCAUAAGUUAAUUUGCAUCUUUUAUCUAUUAUUUUUCUAAAUCUUCUCUCAACUGUUUUUGAAUCUACUAAUUCUUCUUUUACUAUAGUGAAAUAUUUGCUCUCAAGCAUUAGUAUUUCACAUUUUAAUUUUGUUAAUUGUCUAUUCUUUGAUAUUUUCAUUCCUUCUGGUACUAACAUUAUAUUUCUUAUUUCUUCUUGUAUUUUAUUCAUUUUUAAAAGUAAUUUAUUCUAUUUUUGAUGUGUAUUAUCAGUUGUACUCAUAUUUUUCUUUAUAAUAUAAAUUAUUUUCUUCAUCUUCAUAUAUAUUAAUAAUUGUUUCAUAUGUAUAUAUCUCUUUUAUUUUUUCUAUUAUUAAUUUCUCUAGUAUUUGUUCCUUUAUUUUUUUAGGAAGUUCUUUAAUUAUUGUCAAAGCCAUUAUUUUUAAUUUAUUAUGAAUAGGUUUUAAAAAUAUAUAACUACAUUUUUCUUCUUCUAAACACCAAUAAUUAUCUAUUUUUCUUAUUUUAAUUUCCAUAAUCUCUAUAGCUCUGAUACCAAUAUAGGGGAGCUACUUUGAGCGAACAAAAAUCAAUUAAAUAAAAAAAAUAUUAAUCAAAUAAAUCAAAUAAAAAUUAUCAAAUUUCAACCAAUAUUUAAUUUUAAGGACUAAAAUAGAAAAUUUCUAUAUUAUGAUGCAUUGUUAUGUAAUAUCCAAAUGGAGGGCAUUUUUGGUAUAUAAAUUACCUAAGGGUUAUUUUGGAAAAGUAACCCUUUUGAAAAGGUUAUUUCCAUAUAUUUCUCAUAUUCAUAGACUCAUAAUUCCAAUUCAGGCCUAAGCCGAAGCUCCGCGCGAACGCACCCUUCUGCCUUUGACUUUCUAUCCACACAGACUCACCCUUUUGCCCUUGAAAUGCAUUGUCUUAAAGUUUAGUGACCACCAAAUAAUAAAAUAUGAAAAAGAGUCAACACUCCAUUUUUUACAAUAAAUACUAUAAAAAUUAUUAUAAUUUUUUAAGAAUGUGUGACUCAAAAAUAAGAUUUUUUAAAGAAAAUUAUUUUUAUUGACAUAAAGUACAUUUUAAAAAUGAAUUUGAAGAAAAUUAGAUUUUAUAGAAUGGUUUAGGUUAAGAUUCAAAACAAGACCGUGAUGCGCCGCGGGGAAAACAUACUUGGUCUCCUCGUAGCUCUCUGCGAUGCACUGUCGUCUCACGAAGACUUCUCUGCCCACCCCAUAUUCAAACCCGACUGAAUUAAAUUUUGAUUUAGACAAAAAUGAAAAAGAAAGUAAUCACGUGACUUACAUAAAAGCAAUUGAUCAACCCCGUCCAAAACAAUAUUAUAUGCAAUUUAGGCCUUCUUUUGCAAAUUUGAAUUCAAACGAGAUUUCAGCUUUUUGGAUUUUUGGAAAAAGAGAAAGAAGAUGAAGAAGAAGAAUAGUGCAAGAAUGGUAGGUGGAGCUAAAAACAGACUCCCUUACGCUUUCUUCAAUGGGCCCGACAUAAAACAGCUAAUGAAAUGAGAGGAAAAAAUGAAAAAGUGGAGGGCGAUGCAUAUUUGCGACACGUGUCUAGCACCUUCUUUCGCUCUUUUAUAUACGUAGAAUUACAUGAAAAUAUCAAGUGGUUGGCUAAGCAUAAUAGUAAAUCAAACUUAAUUUAAUAAUUAGCAAUAAAAUUUUGCUCUCAAAAGAGUCAAGACACAUAAAAAAUUACUUGUUUGAAUAUUUGAAUACAUAGUUUAUUUUUGUUUGAGUGUUUGAAUAUUUGAAUAAAAAGUUUAUUUUUGUUUGAGGCCCAUUUUCGGGGAUAAUAUAUAUUAUAAUAAUAAUUUUUAAAGAAUGUGUGUAUAAAAGUGGAAAGAAUAUUUAAAUUUAGGUGAAAAUUUAUUUUAUUGAGAAAAAAACUCUCUUUGAAAGAACUUAACUGAAGAACCUCAGUCUUGUGAGAUGCCCCACAGUGUUUAGCAAUGAAAAUAGCUGACUUCUUGAUGAGGUUCGUGUGGAGGAAUAAACACUUGAGUACAUGGAAUGUUUGGAUGGUCGGCACUCAAAGAAAUUGGCAUAACUUUUGCAUACGGUGUUCGUUUCGGGCCCAUAACCCCAUUUUGGUCGUUUGAAUUCGUUACCUGGGUUAAAACAGCAUUUUAAGUUUCUUAAUUUAUUACUUUCAAUAUUUGUUAUUUUCGCUUUAUAGCCCAGCCCAUUAAGGGACUGUUGACACAGUAGGUUAUUUGUUCUUUUCAUAUUUAAGGCUCUGAAAACGUCUACUUGGUUUUUUAUUGUUCAUGAAAUAAGAAAAAACGUGGUUUUCUUGAGUUCAAACCGUUCGAGUUAUUAUCAUUGUGUGUUUGUAGAUUCGAUCUACAUCACUAUUCCUUAGUGAUAACCUGACAUGUCCACUUUUCAUAUAACUGAAAGGUCUCCAUUAAAGCCUUUAUCGAUCUUUUACUUCCAUUAGCAAAGAUAACAAUAUCAUCAACAUAUAGCAAAUGCAACAGCAAAGGUGCACCUCGGGGAUGUGAAUAGGCACCCAUGCAACCAUCUUAUACAUUCUGAAAUCAAGGAACAAAAAUUGUGAGGGAAGCCAAAAGAAUGCAAUACAUGUAAAAGGAACCUCCAAUUCACUCUGUCAUACACCUUCACCAUAUCCACUUUCACCACUACAUUCCCUCCACGAAACUUGCGAUUCAAUGAAUGCACCAUCUCCUGUGUUAAAGUAAUGUUUUCAAGAAUACUCCUCCCUGUCAAAAAAGCACCUUGUUCUAGAGAUAUAAUUUUAGGAAGCAAGCUGGCCAUCCUAUUCACCAGGAUUUUAGAAAAAAUCUUAUAUGCCACGGAGGAAAGACUAGUUGGUCGAAAAUUAUCAAACCCUUGUGGGCUCUCCACUUUUGGAAUAAACACUAUGUAUAACGAUGAAUAAAAUCUUGGUAAGGAGCUACCACUGAAGAAAUUGCACGCAUCCUCCACUACAUCCUUCUUGAUUAUAUCCCAACAUCUAAUAUUUGUGAAUUCUGAAAAAAGAAUAGAGACGCUAAAAGAAUCUCCCCGGAUUUACUUGUCAUUUCCCUAGUUGAAAUGGAUGAUUCGAAAAAUGCACAAAUUUUAAAAUUUAAUUUCCAAUAAGAUGGAUAUAUAUUCUUAAAAGUGGAUAAGAUAGGAAGUGAAAAUGUCACUGGUGUUAGCGGCACAGAUUGAGGAUAGAUCAAAAUUUUCUUGGACUCAAAGAGGCUGUUGUUCAUAAGAGUCACACGAUCUUAUUAGUCUAGAAUCUAUAGGUUAGAAGGGAAAGAUAAGACCAAGCUAACAUUGCUUCUUGUUGUUGCUAAAUAUAUGUGUAGAUUCAUCAAUGAAUGAAUGAAGUGGUAAAAAAUAUAUAUAUAUAUAUAUAUAUAUAUAUAUAUUCAAGCACCAUGCCUUAAAUUUAUUAGGAACAAGCAUUUCAAUUUGGAGUAGAGUUCAGCUAUGAACUAAGUCACUUUACUAUUGCAAUUGAUUGCUUUGGACCACUCCCAUGGUUUUGGGCUGAGCUUGAUGUGGGUGAAGUGAAGAAAAUCAAUAGAAGCCUUACCGUUUUGCAUGCUUCUAUUCUACCUCGAUACAACAAAAUGUUAAAAGUUUCUAGUGAGUCGAUCGCCAAGUGUAUCCAUUUUAUUUUUUGGCUCAGUGAGAAAAACACACCGAUAUGGAUCCUCAUUGAGGAAGUUGUCAACUCGUUUAUCUGGAUAUAUGAUUUCAAUUUCUGUAAUUUAUGAAAUGCCAGCUCAUAACCCAGUAGAUGAUCAUGUUUGUUUAUGAGAAUAGUAUAGCUGUAUUAGCUUGUAUUGUUUACAAUGGCAUUUCACAGUGAAUACUAUAACCAUAUGAACUUAUAAUGGUUUACAAGUGCAUUUUCACAUGCCAUUACUGCUUGAUGCAGAAGUGAAGCCGAGUAAAGAGCACGCAGGAGCUACAAUUGAAAUCCUUCAGAAGAGAUUCUUAAGCAGGCGAUGUGAGGAGAGGAACAUUGGCAAUAAUACAGAAGCACUUUUAUCUAACCUUUGUUAUGAUUCUGGUUGAUAUGCUUAGGCGGUAUUCUUAUGAAAACAAUUUCGAUUUUUUUUCUUUCUUGAUUUCCUUUAUCAUUUGUAUUGCUAUUUCUAAAAUUGUAUUGCUAUUUGAAUGCUUUUAUGAUUACAUUAUCAUAAGCUAUCAAUGUUGGCACCAUCUUGCUUCAUUUCAGAUUAUUUUUCUUGGUUUUCUUACGGCGUCCCUCUCCUCUUACAACCACCAUCAAGUUAAAAGUGUUCUAAUGAUAUGGAUUUUGCCAGUAUCCUUGAUGGGCAGCAGAAAUUAUCCCUCAAAUUACAUUAUUAUUAGUUUAUUGUUCUAACUAAAGUACGGCAGUAAAGUUGUACUGAUAAUAACUUGUUCUAUAAUAGUAUGUAACAAUUACAUCCUUGUUGCAUUAUAUACCUUAUCGAAAGAUAUUAAGCUCGUGUGAUUAUGAUUAUUUGAUAAAUGAUUUUUUGGUAGAAUUUGGCUAAGAAGCAAGAAAAUUAUGGGUUCAAGUAAAAAAUUAUUUUAGUGAGAGAAUGUGAGGUGGAAAAUGAGUUUGAAAAAAAUAUAAUUAUGUAAACAUCAAAAUCAAACAAGGCUAAGUGUACUUGAUAUUAGACUUGUUCUCAGAAAACUCCCCAUUCAAGGUAAUCACCUAGUAGGAUUAUUUUUAACCUUUUUUUAGAAGAAUUUUUUGCCCACGGUGGGGCUCGAACCCAUGACCACAAGGCUAAGAUGAGCUAGUCGGGCUAUUUUUUUACCACCGGUAGGUAAAUGGUUCAGUAUGUAAAGUGGCAUGACAGAUUGAAAAUCUAUUUAAAUUUUUUUUCUUUGAAUUACUUCAUAUGCUAAUUUUUCUACCUCAAGGUAGUAAUGAUUAGAGUAAUGUUCUUGUAAUUUAUUUAUUAAUUUGGUUGUAGCAAUGACAUUCUUGAUUAUCCAUGUAGGCUAUCAAGGUCAAGGAUGGAGGAUAAUUUUGUUGGAAUUUAGUGGUGUUAAUGAAAUCGGAUUAUCACAUAUUGUAUAUGUAGUUUAGAUACCAAUUUUAAACAUAUCGUAUACACAAUAUACUGCAUAUGCAGCUUACCGUAUUUGUAAGAAGCUUACCGUAUAUGCAGAUUACCGUAUUUGCAGCUUAUUAUAUAUACUAGCUAUCGUAUAUGCUUCUAACCAUAUUUUGCAAAUAUUGGUUUUACUCAUUUCAUAUACAUACAAUGAGAGAUUUAAGUACUGUAUAUGCUACUGACAUAUACCAAAUUGUUUUUACCAAUCGUUAGCAAGAAAAUUCAGAUUUUUUUUCUUUUUUUGAUUUUUAUUUCUAACAUAAAUAUAAAAACAAGUAAACUGCAAAAUAUAUGAAUCAAGUAAAUUGCAAAUGUGUAGAUCGUUAAAUAAAUAAAUCUGCAAGAAUAAAUUGCAAAUGUGUAAUAGCAAAAUAAAUAAAUAACAGAUAAAUUUUCAAUCCGAGGCCUGUGUGAGCAUAAUUUUCUUAAAACAGAUUCGCCCCUCACUGUAAGUGUUUGAGGUCUUGUCUAAGCAUUGUUUUCAAGGAUAUAACAGCAAAAUUCGUAGAAUCUGAACACUAUAGAAACUAUUCCAGUGAACUGAUUUAGCUCCUAUACAAUAUCACCAUAAUGGCCUUAUUGGAUAGGAACAAAAAGUGCUAGUGAUUUUAUGAACAGUGCAGAGAGGAAGAGGACAAUUUUCAUCUGUGAAAAUUGUUGAAAAUUGAGUUUAAUUAUAUAGACUUAAUCUAUCUAUUAACCAUUGGAGUUAUAUCAGUUUCUACAGUUUUAGAAACUAAAGAGUCAAUGGAGAAAGUAAGAAAAAAUUGCAAAACGAGGACAUUCCAAACAUUCGUGUAUGCAAGUCGCGCCCCAUACAAGUUCAAGGUCCGAAGGCAUUUCAGUCCGUGAUUUGCACCACCUAUGCACGCACGUGGAGAGAGCAUCUACACUACAUAUGAUUAUACAAUUCCAUUAUGCAAUCAUAUUUAAAGUGGUUCUUACUUUCAUAUUUUUCCUAUGUGGGACAAACUCAUUUUUCCUACAUUAACCAUCUUUAAAUGGUCAACUUUGAGCUCCAAUUUUUUAUUCACCCGAACUUCAUUUUCGACAAGUAAAUAUAUGAUUUCGAUACUCUCACAGAGGAGAACACGAAUCAACUUUGAUCUUCCUAAUUGGACCAACGGUCCCAUCAAAAAGUGUGCCACAAAUGAGCUAUUUACUUAUAUUUUCCAACAAAUUUCCUACAAUCCGCAGUGGCUGACCAGCCACCAAGAAGACUCCCAAAUUCUACCAAGCUGAUGAUGUCAAGACGCGGCCUUAUAACAAGCGCAAGUACAAGUCCACAAAACUUAGGUAAUUUUCAAAUUUAUUUUUUUUAUUUUUCUCUUUUUAUUUGAGAUUUGGGCUAUGAGUUCUACUUUAUAGAUUCCGUUAUUUUGUUUUGCUUUUAGUUUCAAUUGAGAUUUAGAUGAUAGUUCCUCCAGUGUUUGAUCAAUGUUACUUUUUGUUUUUGGUUAUAGGGCAAGCAUUAUUCCAGGGACUGCUUUGAUUAUAUUGAUCGAAAGAUUUAAGGGAAUCAUGUUGUUUUUUUGAAGCACCUUGCUUCGAAUUGUUGCUUGUUAUUGGCUAGUUUUUUUUUUUUAAAAUAAUGUGCCAAUUUGCUUCAAGCUUGGUUCGUCCAACCAAUUUUGACAACACUAGAUGCAUAUGUACAUAAAUCAAGGAUGUAUGGACUCUUGGAGGGAAAAAGCACAAGGUGAAAUAAACUGAAAAUAUGGUAGGAUAAAUAUCCAUUUUAUAAGAUUAUGCUCAAGUUAAAUGUUCAAUAUUGUUAAAGCUUUGUUUUUUAUUGGAUUUUAUUAUUUGCUGACGAGUUUCCUCUAUUUUUGGGUUAUCAAAGUCGUGAUGAAUUUGGAAUUUGUUUUUCUUUGAGAAAUAUGUAGAUUAGAUUAAGGAUUAGUUUCGUCUUUACCCCCAUUUUAGUUUACAAUUUGAAAGAACAUGAAGACUCUGCUGAUAGUAUUAUGUAUUUUGGUUGCUGCGGCAACCAGUUGCACUGAGAAAAAUCAAGAUAGAAUCUUAAUACUAAACACAGUUGAGAUAACAUGUGGGAUUCUUCCUUUUUCACUCAUGAGUUCACCUUCUUCAUUAGUUAUGUUUUGUUGUUUAGCUCAUGUUCUCCAGUCUUAUCAAUUUCUUGAGAAACUCUACUCUAAAUAUUCUAUUUUUCUACACGAUGGGGAAUUCGAAAUUGAGCGUUGGUGGACAAGAUUUUAGUUAUGGAGUUCUUACAACAAUCAAACGUGGAGCCAAGACUGAUGUUUUGGGCAAAGAGGGUAGUCUUGGUAUGGAUGAUGGUUAAUUUUUUUUCCUCUUAAAUUCAGUGUGUUCAGACUAUAUGGCUAAAUAUUUUAUUCGCCAUUCUUGAAGUGUAAAUUAUGGAAUUAUUAUUAUUAUUAUUUUUUUGCAUAUGGGUAUGUUGAAGCUGAUAUUCCAAGUGACCUUUUAGUUCAGAUUGGAGAUGUUUGUUCCAUUUACACAAGGUAAUUUCAUUUUCUUUGCUAGCCUAUAAAUAAUGAAUAUUGUUCGUGUUGAAGAGUAGGUUGACAAGACAAAGAGUGAUCAAGGAAUUGAAUGAAUAUGUCUGCAUUUUCAUGUUUGCUGUUAGUUAGUUUUUACAUUUAAUCAAACUUUAGCUUUUUUGAAAAUUUUCAUGUUCGUUGUUAGUCACGUUUGUUUGGCUUUUGUAAGCACUUCACUGGCUCUAUCCUUCUAAGUUCGUGUCUGUAAGUUAGCAUUUUUGCAUCCCAUGUAAGAAUAGAGGCAGUUACAAAUUGCCAAAAUCUGCACCAAUCUAAUCCACAAAAUAUGCAUCGAGAUUGACAUUGUUUCAUUGCACAAUCACAGUUGUUUUAUGCAUUCAACUUUCUCACUAAUUGCUGAUUUAUAGGAACUUUACCUGUAGCGGAUAGCUUAAUUAUAGGAGCAAUUGUUAUUCAUUCAAUCUGUAUAUAUAUGUAAUCCAGUCAUCUAAUGAAUGUGUGUGAAAUACUUUUCAAACCUUGCAUAUCUUUUCUAUAUGGUAUUAGUCUAAAAGCCACCAAAUCUCCACCGAGUACUAUCCUUUUCCUCACAUUUUCUGCAAAUCACCAUGGCCUCUGAACUCACUCCUAUAGCUAUCAACGCUACUCAGCAAAUAACCGUAAGGCUCACACCAACCAAUUUUCCUUCAUGGCAUGCUCAGUUUGAGUCUCUACUCCUCAGCUACAACCUCUACGGUUAUGUUGAUGGAACUCAUCCAUGCCCACCUAAACCAACCGAACCAGAUGUAACUGCCACUGCAGCCUAGCAACUAUGGUUUCGGCAGGAUAAACUCAUUUUAAGUGCUAUCCUAACCUCUGUCUCUCCAACUGUGAUAUCGCUCAUAGCAACAUCAAGGACAUCUUCCCAAGCUUGGAACAAACUCACCAAGCUAUAUGCUAGCCGAUCAAGAACCAGAGUCAUGCAACUCAAAGAGGAUCUUACCCUCAUAAAACGCGUCAAUCGCACAAUAACAGAAUACUUACACUCUGUCAAAGCAAUUACCGAUAAGCUUGCGUUAAUUGAUGCCCCUCUUUCCCAAGACGACAUCACAUUAUAUGUCUUACAUGGACUAGGCUCUGACUAUCGUGAUAUUGUUGCUCCAAUUCGUGCGACUUGAUUUAGCAGCGAAUCAUCUCUAACAUUUGAGGAGUUACAUGACCUCUUGAUUGGUCAUGAAGCCUAUCUGAAGCGACUUGAUUUAGCAGCACACUCUCUAGUGCUCACAGCCAACAACACUCAGCGCUAUGAUUCUCGUCCCUCAAAGCAACAAAACUAUCGACAACAAAUCAAAAACAAAGCAGUACAAGCAAUACAAACAUCCACCAAGGUGCCAGUUUUGUGAUGAGCAAGGACACAUUGCCAAAUACUGUCCCAAGCUGAAGCAACCAGAAACAUAUGCUAAUUGCACAACUGCUGCUCCGAGCCCAGACAGACGUUGGCUUCUUGACUCAGCCGCUUCUCACAACAUCACAUCACAGGUUUCAAAUCUCCAAUUACACUUUGAACAUGAUGGCACCGACGAGGUUAUUAUUGGAAAUGGAUCAGGUUUGCCAAUUACUCACUCUGGUUCCCUCGCUCUAAACUAUCCAAAUAGAAAGUUUAAAGUUCAAGAUACUCUGUGUGUUCCAGACAUAAAUAAAAACCUGAUUUCUGUGCAUCAUUUUACCAAGCAAAACAAUGUUUUAUUGGAAUUUGACCCCAACUUUUUUCUUGUGAAGGAUCAGAGAACGGGGGAGAUGCUUCUUCAAGGAACGUGUGAACGUGGAAUCUAUCCUUUACCUUCAUUAUCUGCUGCUACACCUGUUGCACUUAUCCAUGAAAGAACUUUAGCAACCGGUUGGCAUCAGAGACUUGGCCAUCCAUCCUCAAAAGUUGUUGAUCGAAUUAUUAGUUGUUUUUCUCUUCCAAUUAGUUCUUCUAAUUCGGCUUCUACUCAUUGUCAAUCAUGUCUCAUUAAUAAAGCUCAUAAGUUACCUUUUCACAAACAUGGUUUGACAAGCAAAACUCCUCUUAAUUUGAUCUACAUGGACGUAUGGGGACCCUCACCCAUAACAAGCCUCAAUGGUCAUCGAUUCUAUGUCAUAUUUGUUGAUCACUUCAUAAAAUACAUUUGGUUUUUUCCAUUGCACCAAAAAUCAGAUGUUAAACAUAUAUUUCAACAUUUCUAUAAAAUGAUUGAAACAAAGUUUAACAUAAAAAUUAAAGUCGUGUAUUCUGACAAUGGGGGUGAGUUUGUUGCAAUUAGACCUUUUUUCACUAAAAAUGGCAUCAGCCAUUAUACAACAGCCCCUCAUACACCCCCAACAAAAUGGGGUUUCUGAAUGUCGGCAUAGGCACGUAGUCGAAAUAGGCAAAACUCUUCUCACUCAUGCCUCACUUCCGUCAGAAUAUUGGGCUUACGCCUUUGCCACAGCCACAUAUUUGAUCAAUAGACUUCCCUCACCUGUUCUCCAACAUAAAACACCACUUGAAGCUCUCUUCAAUCAAACUCCUCGGUAUGAAAAAUUGAGAUCAUUUGGGUGCCUAUGCUUCCCAUGGCUUAAACCUUAUAAUGAAAAAAAGCUUCAAAAUAAAUCCGUCCCAUGCGUCUUUGUUGGUUACUCAACUAGUCAAAGUGCAUAUAUGUGUCUUCAUCUUCCCACUAGGCGACUCUACACUUCUAGGCACGUCAUAUUUGAUGAAUCUAUCUAUCCACUCAAAACAGAGGCAACAACAACAAAUUCUAGACCCAUUUCUCCCGCAGAUGAAUUCAUCUCAGGACCCAUUCUGCAGCUUGUUUCUAAGGAUAGAUCACAUGAUUCACGACAUCAAGAAGACAUCUCAACUGCUUCUCCUACUUCCAAUGAAGCUCCAAUGCCAACAUCUCCAGUCUCAGAUCAGUUAGUCCAAACAAAUUUACCUCCUUCAUUACCACAAACCACUCGAACUAUUGUUACAAGGUCCAUGAACAACAUUUUUUGGCCUAAGCAAAUUCAUCACACGUCCACACACUCAAUGCCGAAAUCGCAAGAACCCAUCUGUGUCAGUCAAGCUCUCAAGGAUCCUAAUUGGCGUACAACAAUGUCAGAUGAAAUCACAGCACUAAUUCAUCAUGGAACUUGGGAAUUAGUUCCUCAAGCUCAAGACCAAAAUCUGGUCGGUUGCAAAUUUGUAUUUCGCAUCAAGCGAAACUCAGAUGGCACAAUAAAUCGCUCUAAAGUGAGACUUGUCGCCAAAGGCUUUCAUCAAAGACCGAGAGUAGACUGCUCUCAAACAUUCAGCCCAGUGGUAAAACCAGCAACAAUUAGGUUGAUUUUAACAAUUGCUGCUAUGCAUGGAUGGACAAUGAGACAGUUAGACGUCAACAAUGCAUUCCUACAUGGCACUCUUGAAGAAACUAUUUCAUGCAUCAACCUCUCGUUUUUGAGGAUCAAUCUAGACCUCAACAUGUAUGCAAACUAAAGAAGAGCAUCUAUGGGCCAAAGCAAGCACCACGACAGUGGUACAAAGCUCUCAAGGAAGCACUACUCAGUUUCGGAUUCCAACAUUCAGCAACUGAUAACUCUUUGUUUAUUUUUAAAACUAAUGAAACUCUAUGUUAUUGCCUUGUUUAUGUUGAUGAUAUAAUUAUCACAGGCAACAACAAGAAGCAUGUUGAUAAAAUCAUACAGCAGCUUGGAACGACCAUUUCAGUCAAAGACAUGGGCAGCCUACAUUACUUCUUGGGCAUAGAAGUUAUUAACACAGAAAAAGGGCUCUUCUUAUCUCAGCAAAAAUACAUUCGGGAGUUGUUAACAAAAGCAUCCAUGGAGAAUACAAAAGAAGUUCAAACUCCAAUGUCAACAGGAGCAAAACUCUCAAAAACACAAUGACUGAUGACAUAGAUGGAACUGAGUACAGAAAAAUGAUUGGUUCACUACAAUACUUGGGACUCACACGUCCAGACAUUGCCUUUUCUAUCAAUAAACUUGCUCAAUACAUGCAAAACCAAAAUCAAAUCAUUGGGCAGCAGUCAAACGUCUUCUACGGUAUCUCAAGCAAACUAUCUUCUAUGGUCUUCUCCUACAGAAAAAUGCAAAACUUGAGCUCAAGACGUAUAGCGAUGCAGACUAGGCAUCAAAUACAGAUACUUGGGUCUCUACAACGGCCUUCAUCACAUUUCUUGGAACAAGUCCCAUCUCAUGGUCAGCACAAAAGCAACGAGCAGUCUCCAAAUCCUCUACAGAAGUAGAAUUUCAUGCCCCGGCCACUGCUACAUCAAAAACUGUGUGGCUGCACUCCUUCAUUGAAGAACUUGGACUCAAGCUUCAACAUGCACCUCAACUAUUCUGAGAUAAUAUUGGANNNNNNNNNNNNNNNNNNNNNNNNNNNNNNNNNNNNNNNNNNNNNNNNNNNNNNNNNNNNNNNNNNNNNNNNNNNNNNNNNNNNNNNNNNNNNNNNNNNNNNNNNNNNNNNNNNNNNNNNNNNNNNNNNNNNNNNNNNNNNNNNNNNNNNNNNNNNNNNNNNNNNNNNNNNNNNNNNNNNNNNNNNNNNNNNNNNNNNNNNNNNNNNNNNNNNNNNNNNNNNNNNNNNNNNNNNNNNNNNNNNNNNNNNNNNNNNNNNNNNNNNNNNNNNNNNNNNNNNNNNNNNNNNNNNNNNNNNNNNNNNNNNNNNNNNNNNNNNNNNNNNNNNNNNNNNNNNNNNNNNNNNNNNNNNNNNNNNNNNNNNNNNNNNNNNNNNNNNNNNNNNNNNNNNNNNNNNNNNNNNNNNNNNNNNNNNNNNNNNNNNNNNNNNNNNNNNNNNNNNNNNNNNNNNNNNNNNNNNNNNNNNNNNNNNNNNNNNAGGUUUUGGAAGGAGCGGCAUCAUGUUAAGACAUGGAUAUGGUCUAUCUAAAUCAACAAAAUUGAAUAACAAUCAUAAUUUUUUAAAAUUUUUUUAAUUCAAAUUAGAAAUGGAAUUACCAACAAAAGUUCGUUGCUAAUUGUUGACGGUUUUUAAUCUGUAGGUAAUUUUUGACGGAAAAUUGUUACUAAUGUUGUUGCUAAUUAGCUAUGGAAAUAGUCGUCGAUAAAUACCAACGAGUUUUUGUUGCUAAUUUAUUAGCGGUCAAAGAAAUCCGUCGAUAAAGUAAUAGCAAGGGUUUCACAAUUGGAUUUGUAGACGGAAGGAUUUGAUCGCUAAAGAUUUUUAGCAAUGGGAAUCAUGGCUUCAACAAUGAUGAAAAUUUUCGUCUCUAAUGAAGAGUUUUUUUGUAGUGGCACCAACCCUAUUUGUGCAAGCCUACAUAGGGUACAAGAUCGAAAAGAAUGAUUGUGGCAUACCAAGUGAGAUGUUUGGAUAAAAGGAACGAGGAGAAGACUCCAUGAAUGAAGACAAAUGCUUUGAGAUUCACUGGAUUGUGACAUGUGGCAAUAUCUACAUGGUCCUUUGAUCAUCAGUUACAAUCACUACUUUGUUGGGUGAUGUAUUCAAAGGGUUGGUGUUGGGAGGCAUAAUUCAUUUAUUACUUUUGCAUAGACACUUUUGGUUUUCACUCUAUUUGAGCAACCUUUCUCUUUUCAUCUCCUAGAGUUUACUUUUUGUUUAAUUAUGCAAGAUUUACCAAUGAUAUUUAGAGUUUCAUGGUCUCCUUGUGUGAGUUUGACUAUCUCAACUCUUAGGCAUGGGUUGAGUGUUUAUUAUUCUUAAAGAAUGACUAAUUGUUGGAAUUUAGUGUACUGGACGAAACCAGAUUCAUUCAUGCCGUAUAUACACUUUACAUGUUGGGUUUAUGCAUAUCGUAUAUGCAACAUACCGUAUUUGCACAGCAGAUCAUAUAUACAACAGCUUAGCAUACCGCAUUUACAACUUAACGUAUAUGCAGUAUAUUGUCUUUAGAUACUGUAUUUUCAUAUAUCGAUUUUGCACUUACACUCAUCGAAAUUGCAGAACACCGUAUAUUUACUUACCAAAUCGAAUGUCAAAAAAUUUUUAAAUUUUUAUUUUUUUCCAACAUAAGUAGAAAAUAAAUUUUAAAAUAUAUGAAGCACAAAAUAUAAUCGCAUAUGAAUAUGUAAGUCAAACAUGUAAGAUAAAAAUUCAGGAAAUAAAAAAUAAGAAAUGAGUCUUCAACCCGAGACCUGUGCGAGUACAAUUUCCUUAAAACAGAUUUGCCUCCUCACCGAGCGUCUGUUUCCCAGGAUACAACGGUAAAAUCAGUAGCAUCUAAGCACCACAGAUACUACUCUGAUGAACUGAUUAGUAUCCGAACAAUAUCACCACCAAGAUGACACUGUUAGGAAAAAUUAUGUGUGUUGAAUGAUACUGUGAUGUGGAACAGUUUUUCUUUGUAUUUCAUCUAUGUAGUAUUUUUGUGUGUUCUGGAAUUGUUGGAAAAUGAGACUUAAUAUAAGAUAAAUGUCAUUAACUCUAUGACAAUAAAUAUUUGAGUCACUUUAGUUUAUGCUGGAGUUUUAGCAGUUUCGGAAACUCAAAAAUCAAUUAGAGAUAGCCAAAAAAAAAUUCAAAACGUGGACACUCCAAACGGGCCAAUUUUUGCUCCAUUCAGUUCGACAUUCAUGUACGCAGAUCGCGCUCACACACUAGUUCAAGGUCCAAAAGCUAUUUCAGUUCGUGAUUUGCACCUCCCCUCUCCCUACAUGCGCACGUGGAGAGAGCCUCUAUAUUAUACAUGAUUACACCCUUCCAAUGUGUAGUCAUAUAUAAAGUGGUCAAUGCUUUCUUCAUUUUCCUAUGUGGGACAAAUUUAAUUUUUCCACAUAAACUAUCUUCCAAUGAUCAACUUUGGGCUCCAAUUUCUCAUUCAUCCAUUCAUCAAUUUUUGUAAGUAAAUAUAUGGUUUUGAUGCUUUCACAGAGAAGAACACGGAUCAACUUUGAUCUUCCAAAUUAAACCAAUGGGUCCCACCGAAAAUUGUACCAAAAGAGAGCCAUUUACUUAUUUUUUCCAACACUAAUAUCUUGUCGAACAUAGAUAUGUAAAACAUUUUACACUUGGUACAUUGGGCUUGUACAUGAGGUCCAUGGGGGUAGGCUAGAUUUCAUGACAUAUUCGACUUGAUUUCAUGACAUAUGAGACUUCCUUACAACCAAUAAGAAAAAUUAACGUUAAUUUUGAAAUCAAUUUGAUGCCCAAACUAAAUGUAUAAAAUUAUAAUUUACUACCUUCUAAUUUGAAAUCCUUCUUUCAAUCCGAGCGUUCAACACAAAAUCAUGUCCAAAAUCCAAGGCGAGAGGCUAGAUUCACGAGCAGUGAUGAGAGGAAAUGAGAUGCAGAAGAGACGAGAGUAAUGUUAUUUAAAUUGAUAACCCUAGACGAGUUGAAUUUUAUUUGAUAACCGCAAAUUCGAGACUUGAAACGUAAUGCAACUCAGCCUUAAAUCUGAUUCUUCAACCUAAUACCAACCCAAUUGAACUCAAAAAUUGACCCAAAUCGAUUGGUAUGGAUUGGGUUGAUCGGUUUGGAUUUGUUUCUGCCCAACCCCAAGUAGGUGAGUUUCAUCGAAUCACAUAAACUCUAUUGUUCUUUGGUGUUUUAUUUUUUACUUUUCGUUCGAUUAUUUCUUUCAAAAUCUUGGGUAAGAUAUGAAACCAGGAUUAAGUUAAUAUGUUAUAACUUAUUUUACUUUUCGUAGACUUACAAUAAGAUUAUAAUGUUACUUUCAGUAUUGAUCAUUCAAGUUUUUCUAAGUUAUGUUAAUGGUCAUUCAAGUAUUUUUCUUACAAUAAUGGUCACUCAAACUUCUAAUAGUUACGCUAGUGGUCAUUUUGUUAAAGAAAUUAAUAUCAAAGCCUACCUUGCACCUUUAAGUGAUUAUGUAUCACGAAAUAGUGUUAUUCAUGAUGCCAUGUUACUCAAAUCGUGCUCAAAAAUUAAAAUACAUGACAUGUUUGUCAGAUUCUACGAAAAUUUGAGACAUUUUUAACGGAAAUUUAUUGAAAAUUUUGUCACAACUUUUAAUUCUUGAGGCAUUUUAAAUAACAUCAUUUGGUGAAACGUAGGUACAUAAAGGUAUCGAGUAGAUUUUGAAAAGUAUUAGAAACUUGAGUGACCACGCCGUAAAAAAGGUACUUCAAUUCGAAAACUUGAAUGAUCAUAAUUGAAAUUAACCCCUAAAAUGUUGUAGCUAGACAUAAAGAUUUACGAAUAUCAAGAAUAAAAUAAACUUCAAAGGGAGUUCAGAUUGACCUCUAGCUAAGGUGCAAAAAUAAAGAAGCUUUUCAUGUCCCCAACCAAACGAGUAUAAUGUAAAAGUUGAAGAAACUACAAUUCAUUCGCCUUAGUCAUAUUCUUCGUUACUAUACGCAAUAUAGUCUUCAUUACUUUUGGACUUGCUAAGUGAAAAAGAUUUCAUAAAUUUAUCAUUUUACGCCAAGUUCGAAAAUUCAUAACAUCAUCGAAUUCUCCAUAAAUAUAUCCAAAAGCAUCCCGAUAUUCAACUUGAGCAUAGAUAAAAAGGUGGUGCCCCACCCUAAACUCAGCACCACAUAAAUCAUUUACUUAUAUAUCAUCUAUUAUCUUCGUCCCACGAUUCAAAUACAUGCUACAAAACUAUGGGAGAAAAAAAUAAAAUAAAAAAUUUCAUGUCCUCAUCUCUUUCAGCCCAAUUUUCUAUGUUUUGCAAGGAGAAAAGCCUAAAUCUAAAAUGAAGGAUGACAUUUUUUUUUCCUAUUUAACUGCAAAUCUUGUGUCCGUUCAUGUGAAUUAAUCAAGAAUCAUUUUCGUUUGGAGUAAUAUUAUUUAGCAUCAUUAAAAUUAGAAUAAAAGUUUAGGUGAUAUUAAAUGCCAUUAAAUGAAUGGUAUAAUUAAAUCAAUCAAAUAAUUUCAUCUUAAUUCAAUCCAUCACAUAACACAUAUAGAUAGGUGUUAGUUAUCGUUAUUCUUUUUGAGUAAUGUUAUUUAACACUACUAGUAUUUAGGGAUGUAAACCAGCGGGCCGAGCCAGCUUGCGAGCCUGAAGUUUCGGCUCGGGCUCGGCCCGAUUAAAAUGGUCGAGCUUUUUUGCUGGCUCGAGUUGGGCUGAGGGGCUGGCCCGAGCUUUUGCCCGGGCUUUUUCCAGGCCGAGCAGGGCAGGUUCGUUUUCUCCUCUUUUUUAUUUUUUAUUAUUCCCCCCCCCCCNNNNCUUUUUUUUUUUUUUUUUUUCCCCCCCCCCCCCCAAACUGCUGCCUUCAAGGUAGCGAGUUGCUGCCUUUAAAAGGCAGCCUCAAAAUUUAAUUUAAAUUUUUUUUUUUUAACUCGCGAGCUCACGGGCCGGCUCGGGCAAAGCCCGUGUCCCCAAAAUGGGGCUCGGCCCUAGCCUAGGCCCGGGUCUACCGAGUCCCGAACUGGCGAGCCCAAUUGCCAUCCCUACUGCUAUUACAACAUCAAUUUAGAUGGUACUAAGUACUAUUAAAUAAAUGGUACAAUUCAAUGAAUUACAUAAUUUCACCUUGAAUUCAGUAUAUCAUAUAUUGUCACAUAAAUCGAUGUUCUAAUACCAUUGGUGCAAAAUAAUAUUAUUUUUCUGAAUAAUACUAUUUAACACUACUGAUAUUACAACAUCAAUCUAUACGACAUUAAAUCUUUUUAGAUGAAAGGUAUAAUUAAAUUAAUUACAUAAUUUCGCAUUUAAUUCAACAUGUCACAUAAUGACACAUAGACUGAUUUUCUAACACUACUGAUACUGAAUAAUAUUAUUCUUUAUGAGUAAUACUAAUUAACACCACCAGUAUGACAAUAUCAGUCAAUGUGGCACUAAGUGUCAUUAAAUGAAUGGUACAUCUUUAUGAAUCACAUAAGUUUACCUUUAAUUCAACCUAUUACAUAAUACCACAUAAACUGGUGAUCAAUCAUCAGUGGAGCUAAAUUGUAUUAUUCUUUCUAAGUUGAUAUUUAGCUACUGAUAUUACAACACUAACAUAGUUGACACUAGAUGUCAUUAAAUGAAUUACAUAAUUUCACAUUAAAUUCAACAUAUCACAUAAUGUCACUACUGCUAUUUAACACUACUAAUAUUACAACACCAAUGGAGAUGACACUAAAUGUUAUUAAUUGAACGAUAUAAUUAAAUUAAUCGCAUAAUUUUACAUUUAAUUCAACAUAUUACAUAAUAUCACAUAGAUUAAUGCUCUGAUACAACUGAUACUAGAUAGCAUUAUUCUUUUUCGAGUAAUAUUAUUUAACACCACUAUUAUUACGACACUAGUAAAUGUGACACUAAGUAUCACUAAAUGAAUAAUAUAAUUAAAUUAAUCACAUAAUUUCACCUUUAAUUCAACAUAUCACAUAAUACCACAUAAAAUGAUUCUCUAGCACCACUGGUGCGUGAUAACAUUAUUCUCUCUAAGUAAUGCUAAUUAGCACAACCAAUAUUACAAUACUAAUAUAGGUGACACUAAAUAUCACUGAAUGAAUGAUACAGUUAAAUGAAUCAUAUAAUUUCACUUUUACAUAUGGCCAAAUACAUUGAUGCUCUGGCACCGUUAGUGUUAAAUGGCAUUAUUCUUUUUGAUUAAUAUUAUUUAAUACCAUUGGUAUUACAACACUAGUUUAGAUGACACCAAAUAUCAUUAAACAAAUUAUACAAUUAAUUGAAUCAAAUAAUUUCAACUAAAUUCAACCUAUCACAUAAUGAUACAUUAAUUGGUGCUAGAUAACAUUAUCUUUUAUAAGUAAUGAUAUUUAACACUACUGGUAUUAUGAUGCUAGUCUUGGUGACAAUAAGUGUCACUAAAUGAAUUUUAAUAUUAAUUGAAUUACAUAAUUUCAAUUUAAUUUAACAUAUCACAUAAUUCCAUAUACACUGGUGCUAGAAAACAUUAUUUAGUUUGAGUUAUGUUAUUUAGUACCACCAGUGUAACAACACCAAAUUAGGUGGUACUAAAUGUCAUUAAGCCCCCGUUUGGCUCCCAUUAAAACUCAUCAAUUUAAUUUAAAUUUUUUUCUCUCUUAUUUUCAAUCACACAAUCUUCAAUAAAAUAAUAUUACACGCAAAUCGAAAAGUUUUCAUUCUUUUACAACCAUCCAUUUUUCAAAAAAUUACUAUUCCCUCAUUAUAAAUCCAAAUAAUAGGGAUCAAAGUUAUAAAUCCAAAUAAUGGGGAUCAGACAGGGGCUAAAUGAAUUAUACAGUUAAAUGAAUCAAAUUGUUUAACCUUUAAUUUAACGUAUAAUAUAAUGCUACAUAAAUAGGGAUGUCAAUUGGGCCGAACUGGCUCGCGGCUCGUCAACUCGGCUCGUCAAAGCUCGGCUCGUGGGCUGCUCGGGCUCGUCAUUUAGCCGAGCGGGGGGUCCGUCCAACGAGCCGAGCCCUCGGCUCGUCGAGCGAAAAUUUUAUCAAUAAAAUUUGAAAUUUUUGCAAAAAAUAAAAUAAAAAAUACGCGAGCUCGUGGCUGGUGAGUACACGAGCUCGCCCACGAGCAACGAGCCACAAGCUCGGCUCAUCACGAGCCCCAGCCGAGCUCCCCUCAGCCCACUGCCAUCCCUAUACAUAAACUAGUAUUCUAGUACCACUAGUACUCGGUAGCAUUAUUCUUUCUAAGUAAUGUUAUUUAACACUACCAAUAUUAUAACACCAGUUUAGAUGAUAUUAAGCCCCCGUUUGGUUCACAUUCUUUGGCCACAAAAAUAAAAAAUAUGACCGUUGUCCAUCACAUCAAGUCACCAUAUUUGACUUUCUAUCUCUAAGUGUGGGUUCCAUAAUAGUUAUAUUUUUCAUUCUCAUUCAUAGAAAAAUGUGAAUCAAACAGACCCUAAGUAUCAUUAAAUGAACGAUUCAAUUAAAUAAAUCAAAUAAUUUCACCUUGAAUUCAACAUAUCACAUAAAUUAAUGCUCUAGCACCAUUGAUAUUACAACACUAAUCUGGAUGGCACUAGAUGUUUUUAAAUGAAUGGUACAAUUAAAUGAAUCGCAUAAUUUUACCUUUAAUUCAACAUAUUACAUAAUGCCACAUAAAUUGAUGAUCUAGCACAAAACUGGUUCUAAAUAACGUUCUGAGUUAAGGUUGACAACGGUUCGGUUCGGGGUCAAUUCGAUCAAAACCAUCACUGAACCACCAAUUUUUUGGUCAUACUGUAACCGCACCAUAACCACGUAAGUUGGUUCGAUUCAACUCAGAUCGUAUCUCGAUUCGAGCAGUUAAUAACCAUAAAAAUAAAUUAUUUUUUAUAGAUCCAACCGUCAAAUUGCAAAAAAAAAAAAAAAAAAAAUGAAGUUAACGAAAACAAAUAUACAAUACUAAGCCAAUUUAACAAGCAACAUCCCAAAUGAAAAUGCAAACAAUAUCUCAAUUUCCAAAUGCAAAUUCCGUUAUAGUCCAAUUUUGAUUGGUAAUAAAUACCGAGCAUUGCAAUAUUUGAUUGAAAAAAUCUGAAUUUAACAAACAAUUUUAAUAUAUGUUUAAUAUUUUUGUAGUAGGAUAUAUGGUUACUAAAUUAGGUUAGUUGAACUUAGCGGGUCAAUAAUGAGCCAGAAUUUUGGGCUAAACGAAAUCAUAGAAAAUAUAAUGGAAAGCUCUGCCCAAUUAAUUUUUUUAAUGGAUAAUCUUUUUGGGGCGGGGCGACGGCGUAAAUGCUAAACCAGCCCUGCCUCGAACCGGAGCAUUAAAAUUAAGUACCGUAUCUACCUCAUUGCACCAUUGGUUCGAUUUAUUCGUCUAAUUCGGUUCGAUUAACUGUGAUUUUCGAUUUUGACAAUUCGAAUUGUCAUCCCUAUUUUUUAGUAAUACUAUUUAACACCCUUGGUAUUACAACACCAGUAAAUGUGGCACUAAGUAUCAUUAAAUGAAUGAUACAUUUAAAUGAAUCAAAUAACUUUACCUGUAAUUCAAACUAUCACGUAAUGUCAUAUAAACUGAUGCUAUUGUAACACUGGUGUUAAAUAGUAUUAUUCUCUCUAAGUAAUAUUAUUUAGCAUCACUGAUAUUACAAUACCAAUAUAGGUGGCAUUAAAUAUCAUUACAUGAAUAGCACAAUUAAAUAAAUUACUUAUUACCUUUAAUUCAACAUACCACAUAAAUUAGUGUUAGAUAAUGUUAUUUAAAACCACUGAGGUUACAAUAACAAUUUAGGCAAUACUAAAUGUUAUACAAUUAAGUGUCUGUUUGGUACAGAUCUGAUUUUAAUUUGAGUCAGGGUCAAAGUUAAACAAUCAAUAUUAACCACAUUUUUUAUGCGUUCCAUAACUUUUCAACCACAUAUUUUAAAAAAUGUUAUCACAAUCUACUAAAAAAUCUAAUUUUAUUUCCCACCAAACAACCUUCAAAUAAAUCACAUAAUUUCACCUUUAAUUUAAUAUAUAAUAUGAUACCAUAUAAAUUGGUGCUCUAACUAGAUAACAAUGUUUUUUCUUUUGUGUUGAAAAGAGAUUUUAAAACAAAAAGUUGAGUAAGCAUGAGCGCAUAUUCCAUUCACGGCUAGCUUUGGCAGACGACAAAAGUCCAUUCGGCCUUUUCUUCACAAAAUAACCAAUUAACAAAAACCUUUGUAUUGAUCCCAUUAGAUACCCAAUUGCAUGUUCUCUUCUAACUACUAUCAUUUUUCUUGUUUUUUAUGUGGAUAUCUGAGUAUAAAUAUUAAAUAGCAGUAUCCAUAAGCCAGAAGCCAAAAAAUAAUCCAUUUAAGAUUGUUUUCUUGAUAAUUAAGUGGGACUAAUGGAAGCGCUGCCAUUGGCAACUGCAGUCGUAGUGGGUGGUCCGGUGCUGGCUCUUGGCGGCGUAACUUUGCUUUUUCUUAAAAAUUACAUAAAUGAUCAAAAGAGGAGAUCUACAAGCCUUACACUUCCACCAGGUUCUUCUUUUUCUCUUUAACUGUACAGGAUUCCUCAAUCCCUGCCCGGCUCAGUCAAAAGUCCCUUCUGAUCUUACUUUCUAUUUGUAUCCUAAUGAGAUUGAAAUAAAAUGGUGAAUUUAUUGCAGAGGUGCCAGGGUUACCAGUGAUUGGGAAUCUGCUGCAACUGAAAGAGAAGAAACCCCACAAGACUUUUGCCAAAUGGGCUGAGACUUAUGGUCCGGUGUUUUCUAUAAGGACAGGGGCCAACACCAUGGUUGUCCUUAACUCCAACGAUGUCGCCAAGGAGGUAGGUACCCUUCUCUGUGGAUAGCUGCCAAAUUAGAAUUUUUGGUCAGGAUAAUAAUUUUGUGAAUUUCAUAAAUUUUCUUUAGUAAGUCAAAAAUUUGAGUGGCAUUUUGUAUGAAAUUUUUUUUUAUUAAAGCACCACAUCAUGAGAGGCAAAGGAAAGGUCAGGUCCAUAAUAGCUAUGCUAUUGCUCUACUGAUUUAAGGCCUCUGCCGAAAAAUCUUCAUAGGUAGCGUUGGCACUGUCAAGUAAUCCUCGAUAUCCACUUUGUACACCCUAAUUAAGAGGCUAAUUCGUAGGUUCGAUUCCUGCUAGAUGCACUUGGAAAAUCGAUCGUUCCUCACGGAGAUCUUGUAGGAAGUGCUGUACUUUCUCAUUCAAAAAUAGACUUCUAUCCUCUGUAUGUAUGUUUGUGUGUCGAAUUUCAUGAAUGAUUCUUGGGCCUUAUCCACCUCAAUAUCUCUGUGGCUCGUCUUUUUUUCCACAGUAAAUGAAUGAUGUUUCGAUGGCCUCCUAAGUUCAUUGAUUGCCCCAACACUUAGGAUUAAAACAUAUAGAUUCUGCUAAGAGAAUGGUAAAAAUAGUACUAAGAGACAUCUUUUGAAAAAAUUCCCUCGAAAAAACGUGGCUCUGCCACUGCUGUUGAUUUCAUUCUUAGCUUGAAUUGCUUUCGAAAAGGUAGUGCUAUGGGGGCAAAAAUUGUAAGCUAGAGAUCAAGACGGGAACUAAGGAGAAUAAGACAUGACACAAAUUUACUUGGUUCGGUAAACAAAGCCUACGUUGCUGUGUGCGGGGGCAAGGGCGGGGGCGGUUGGGGAUUCACUAGGAAAAUGAGAUUGCUGGGCUUUUUCUUACAACUAUACUUCUUGCUUAUGAGAAACUUGCUCAUUUAACAAACCCGAAUGAUAUAUCCAAAUAUAGGCAUAGAAUUGGAUUAAACAGCACAAUAAAAAUGUGUUAGGCCAGUCCUCUGCUUAGUGAGUAUUGCACAAUAUAUGUUAUAAAGCUUUACGAAAAUUAAAUUAGACUUGAGUUACCAGAGACCAGAAUGCAGAAUAUUACAGGAGAUUAAGCAUGUUGAAUGUAGCAAGUUUCCUGUCUUUUCUUUAAUCAAAAUAAUAAUAUUGUGUUGCUGUAGCUUAUUCUUCCUUUGAUUUGUCCUGUCGUGCUUCUCAUAACUUGAAUAUUAAAACAUUUUGCAAUACCAAACUCAUUGAGAGAGUUCAUUAAUUAUUUUCUUAAGUGAUCAGCUUAUAAACUUCAUGAUCUGAUGCUGCAAUUAUUCAAUCAUCUGUGGGAGUCGGGAUGAUCAUAUUGUUCUCUCCACAACUCAUGCAAAAUUCUUAAAUUUGGCUUUAUUACAUUCCAUUUCCAUCUUACUUCUUUAAAUUAGCCUGUGCUAUGAACUGCUGUAUCUUGGGUUCUUCAUUAUGAAACUUAUCUGGAUUCCUUGUUUUACUUGAUGCUCUAUCUUAAUCUCGUGGACGCUAACUUAUCACUCAAAUUAUGUUACAUUCUUUUAUAUCCUUUUGCUUUGUACACUUAUGGCAUGCUCGGUAAGAGGAUUAAAUUGUACUACUUUCUAGUUUGUACCAAGCAUGCUCUUAGGUUACAUUAGAUGGCAUUAGGCAGAAUAAACAAACUUUUAUUCCUUGUUUGUUUUAGGCCAUGGUGACAAGAUAUUCAUCCCUCUCGACGAGAAAGCUAUCAAAUGCACUAAAGAUCCUCACAUCUGAUAAAAGUAUUGUUGCAAUGUGUGAUUAUAAUGAAUACUACAAGACCAUAAAAAGACACAUUCUUACAAGUACUCUGGGAUCAAAUGCUCAGGUUAGUGCUGUUAAAUAUGUCCUGCGAAGGUUUUUAUUGCCGUAAAAUUAUAUAGUUUUUGGUAGUGGAGAUAGUACUAAUUACAUCGGUUAUGGCAGAAACGACAUCGUGUUCACAGGGAUAUCAUGAUAAAUAACAUUACACAGCAGUUCCAUACUCUCGUGGAAUUGCAUCCUUCUGAAGCCGUAAAUUUCCGGAAUGUAUUUCAGUCUGAGCUUUUUGGAUUAUCACUUAAACAAGUGAGUUCACUUACUUCACAUUACAGUUAUUUGUAGCUCUUUAUACUCUAUCUAAGAUUGUGAUCAUAACAAGAUGUGUCCAUUACUCAGGCUAUUGGAAAGGAUGUUGAAUCCAUUUAUGUGGAGGAAUUAGGUGCUGUUUUGUCAAGAAAAGAGAUAUUUGAGAUUUUAGUUAUCGACCCUAUGGAAGGUGCUAUUGAGGUGGAUUGGAGAGAUUUUUUCCCUUAUCUAAAAUGGAUUCCCAACAAAGGCUUCGAAAAGAGAAUUCAGCAAAUGUAUUCCCACAGAGAGGCUGUGAUGAAGGCCCUUAUUAAGGAGCACAUGAAACGUAUUGCUUCUGGAGAGGUACUGUCACUUCCUUGAAGGUGUUACUUCUUUUUAAGUAAAAAAGUUAUAUAUUUUGGAAGUAACUCUUUUGCUUACUAUUGAAAUAAGUAACGUUUCCCUACUUUUAACCAUUCAGGAAAUUAUUUAUGAUGUAGCUAACCUUGUGACAGGAAAUUAACUGUUAUCUCGAUUAUUUGGUAUCUGAAACAAAUACGUUAUCUGAACAACAAAUAUUGAUGCUGCUUUGGGAAGCCAUUAUUGAAUCUUCAGACACUACUGCAGUGGUCACGGAGUGGGCCAUGUACGAGCUUUCUAGGAAUCCCGAAAAGCAGGUAUUUCAUUCACUCUGUUCGUCUAAUUCGUUUAUCGUUUUUUCAAAUAUUAUUUGUACAUAGUACUAAGUAAAAUUUCUUUCGGUUGAAACAGAAUCGUUUAUACCAGGAUAUUCAAAAUAUCUGUGGGUCUGACAAAAUUACAGAGGAAAAGUUGUGCCACCUUCCAUACUUAUCGGCUGUUUUUCAUGAAACUCUGAGAAGACAUAGUCCUGUCCCAAUAGUUCCUUUAAGAUAUGCGCAUGAAGAUGCACAAUUAGGAGGAUAUCAUAUUCCUGCUGGAAGUGAGGUAUUACUUUUCCCAUGAUCUAAUGCAAUUUCAUUUUCAAGACCAGAACUGUGGGCAGAUCUAAAGAUCCGUUGCCCCCACACUAAAUUUGAAAUCCAAGAUUUUACACAAGACUUUCAAAACAAAUUCCUUAUAAUUUUCAAUUUUGACCCCACAAUUAGAAUUUUGUGAAAUUUGCCUUUCACAAUUCUACUCUCCUGACUGAACCUUUAGUCUGGAAUUGUAACAAUGGAUUGUAUUCGCAGAUUGCUAUAAACAUUUACGGUUGCAACAUGGACAAGAAAAUAUGGGAUUCUCCCGAAGAGUGGAAUCCGGAGAGAUUCCUUGACGGGAAAGGUGAUUUGAUGGAGCUACACAAGACUAUGGCUUUUGGUGGGGGAAAGAGGGUUUGUGCAGGUGCUCUCCAAGCAAUGUUAAUUUCGUGUGUGACAAUUGCUCGAUUAGUACAAGAUUUUAAAUGGAGACUCAAAGAUGGAGAAGAAGAAAAUGUCGAUACGUUGGGGCUAACGAAUACCAAACUCAAUCCUCUGCUAGCCAUGAUGGAGCCAAGAAAUUGAUGAAGUUGGUAAAUUUGUUAUCAUGCAGCUAUUAGUUUAUUAAGGGACUCUUCUCCAAUCUUUCGGAGUAUUUCCUUAGUGAAGUCAGAUCUACAGGUUAAUAUUUUCAUUUUUGGAGCGUUAUUUUAUGAAUAAAGGGGAUGCAGGGUUGCAUCCCCUAUAUGCUUCAAGCUUGUAAGUUGUACCUUCGUAUCUUACCUCCAGCUUUUAUCGACUUGCACACUAAUGAGCUCGACUAGUCUGUUUGAUAGUAUAGUUAAAGAUUCAGCAUAUUUCUCUGCUUUCUGAAUUUAUGAUACUUCUAUAGUUUUGAAGAUAAUAUAUGCUUUUACAUUCUUUACACCAAUUUGACAUGUGGUUCAUUUACACAGCCAAGAAGGUAAAGUCACUUUGUCAAAAAAAGGUUAACAGAUAUCUUGACAUAAUGGAUUUUGACAAAAUAUGAUUGGAUGGAGACUGUGUUUUAAACAGUCUAAUGAUAGAAUGUCAUAUGACAUUGUAUGAAGGAUUAUGUUAACCUCUCAAGCACUAUAGCAUGAUUUAGUCAAGAUGGUUGCGUUGUUAAUAAUUUUAUCAGAGUUUUAUGUUAUGUGAUAUGAUUUGAAGAUAGUGGUGCACUGGUGCAUAGGCCUCUUACUUCAUGAUGCCACUUCUCUGUGUUAUGUUCCUUGGCUGCAAACUCGGGUAAUCUACCAAUAGGCAAUGGUCCGUGUGAUUGUAGUCAAAAUAAAUCUCACUUAGUUGCUUGACGAAAUUUUUGUCAGUUUGACUAUGAAUUUGUGAUUUGUCCUCCAUACAUAGUCAAAUUGUGUUGUGAAGAUGCUUGUUAAUCAUUAGGUUGUCAAUUUUUUCUUAACUCGAUCUAAAGACUCUAAUUGCAAAAGAAGCUCUCUGAGUAAACUAAUUUGAAGACUGAGUCUUUCCUUGUUAGAGUACCCUCAAGCGUAUUUAGGUUGAACAAGGUGAAGUUUUGUUCAAAAUAUCAAGUCAUAGUCGGUCAUUCAUUUGCUCACGUGACAGUCUACUUUCUAAGAUUUAUUGUUAGAAUUGAAUUAGUUGUACAUUCUUUUUGUACAACUAAUUUGACAUCAUUUGAUUUGUCAAAAUCAUGAACAUUGAUUUAAAUAAGUGUUAAUUAAGUUAAUGGUCAUGAUUUUGACAUAUCAUGAACGUCAAACUUAGGGAGUGUUUGUACCCCCAUUAUUUUUUAGAGUAAUGUAUUAUGAAAUAGUGAUUAAUGUUGAAAUGUGUGGUUAAAAGAGAAGAAAAAGUUUUUGAUUUACGUGUAAUAUUAUGUUAAUGAAUAAUGUGUUCUUGAAAAUAAGCAAUGUAGAAAAAAUAAUAUGGUAGAAUGUGAAAAAAUAUAAACAAACAAAACCUUAAUGUACAAAAUGAAUUUAUGCAGCAGCUUUGUGUUUGUUAUGUAAUGGCAUGAUGGAGUUAUCAAGUCUAAUCAACCCAUAAGGAAUUUACAUGACUGUUUAUUUCUCAUUCUUCCCCCAUUAAAAUAAAAAAUAUGUUCGUUAUCCAUCACAUCAAGUUAUCAAAUUUAAAUUUAUAUCUAUUGUGUAAGGUUCAUAACAACUAUAUUUUUCAUUCUCAUUUAUACAAAAAUAAGAAACAAAUGUCCCCUUUUAAUCUUUCAAUAAAUUUCAGGAUGAUAUGUUCUUUAAAAUUCAUUUUUUUAAAUACAUUUUUAGUCACGCAUUUUUCAAAUAAAAUAACCUGAAAUGUGAAUUCAUAAUUUUUCAUAUUUUUAAUCACACUUAAAAAAAAAAAAUUACUUUACACAAAAUGGCUCUCACGUAUUUAGAGAAUAGAUCAUGGCUCCACUCAAAGCAUGUACAGGUCAUAAUGACGUUGAGACUAUUAUAAAAAAUAAUAAUAAUGUUACUUAUCAAUAAUGAUUUACAUACUGAUGAUAUAGGUAAAUCCAUAUGUACAGAAGAGAUUUUGACAGAAGUCUCACAGAUUACUCACAUCGAAGGUGGGUCCCACGUCAAACUCCAUGAAUUAAAAAAUGGCCAAAAUGUGCUUAUCCCACCCCAUUGUGAGACCUCUGUAAGAGGUCUGUAAAUGGUGGGUUUGUACACCUAGCAAGACCCCUGAUGAUAUAUUAAAAAGAGAGUGAAAAGGAUUUUUCAUUUAAUUGAAAAUUUUUGACUCAAUCAUAUUUCACUCACUAUAUAAAUUAUCAUGUACAUGUACCAAAGUCGAAAAAAUAAUAACAAUAAAUAAUUUAAAGGGAGAAUUUAUAUCAGAAACUUGUCAAACAUACAACACAUAACCGAUGCCCAAAAAUGAAAGUUGGAAUUUUGGCUUUUUUAAUUCCAUAGUGGAGCAGGGCAUCCAAUAUUUGAUGUUAUAAUUUUGGGAAUAGUAUUUUAUUUUUUAAAAAUAUAUGAUUAAAAAGAAGAAAAAAAUUGGUUUAUGUGUAACAUUAUUUUAUUAGAGAAUAUGUGGUUAAAAAAAGUAGAAAAAAUAUAUUACAGAUAAAAAUUAAGGCCCCGUUUGGUAGCAUUUUUUUCAAAAUGCAUUUUUCUCUCUCUUUUUUUUAACCACACAUUCUUUAUUAAAAUAAUAUUACACGUAAAUCGAAAAAAAUUCUUGUUUUUCCACUAUACAUUUUGCAUCAAUUUACUAUUUUAAAAUGUAUUUUUACAUAAAAAUGUCUAUCAAACGUCCCCUAAAAUUUAGAUUUUAAUAACUUGAUAAAAUAAAUGAUUGAAAAAGUUGUGAAUCCUGUUAAAUAUGUUAUUAGAAUUUAGAUGCUUAUAUUGAUUUAAAUUAAAAUUAAAAUUUUAAUUCCUAUCAAAUAGACAUUAAACAAAUAAAAUUUAAGGAUUAUGAGACAAAAGAACUUCAUCAAAGUCCAAUACAAUUUAAAUUCUUAAUUAUCCACUCCCUAUAUAAGUUACUUCCCCGCUCCUCCUUCAAUGAUCGACUACUCUUAUAGUAGAUAGAAUUGUUCAUUAUUAUAGAUUUUCAACUACUUUUCACUCGAUUAAGAAAUUUUCAAAUGAAAUUAAAUCCCAACAAAUCUUAGAUCUUGCUUUAAAAGUAUUUAUAAACAGUUAAAAUUAUAAAUAAAAAUUAUUAAUGAUGAAUGAGCGAAUACUACUUUAAAAUUUAUUGAAAUAUGUGGAUCAAAAGGGACGCAAGUAAUUAUAAAUAUGAACAAACAUAGCGUUAAAUAAUACCCUUGUUUAAGCCCCGUUGUUUUUAAGAAUAAAUGUUAUAAUAGUAAUUUUCUUGAAAAAUGCAUGAAUAAAAAGUUUUAAAAAAAAAUAAUUAAUUUUACUCGUAAAAACUAAUUUUAGUAAAAAAAACUGAAUAAAAAAAAGAGUUUUUAAAUAGUAGAGUAGCACAGGCAAUAUGCGACAUAAUAAUAAGUAAUUAAAUUAGGAUCGAACAAAACUCUUGAAUCGAACCGAUCGAAUUGGACUCGAACUGAACUGAAUCUAACAGAACGAUUCUUCAUAAAUUAAAUACUUGAAUGUGUAUCUGAAUCGAGAAUCGACAAGUUUAGUUCAGUUCUCGAUUCUAGAUCAAGAAUCAAAUAACUGAAUAAGAACCGAAUUUGCUUAUUUUUUAAUUAAUUUAUUCUAAAUAAGCAAAAUUGUUUUUUGAAAUAGAUUUGCUAACUAAUUUUCAAUCCAAGUCAACUUAAUUAAAUUUACCUAAGUUUUAUUCAAAUAUAUUAUUUUAUUGUAGUGUCGUUUCUACCGUUUUGGAGAAAUCGAAUUGAAACUCGAUAGCACCUCUUUUAAUUAUUUUGAACUUGAUAUCUUCCUCUUCCUAUAAUUUUAAUGGUCAAAUCUAUGAAAAACUCAACGAACCGAGACGCAAAGAAUAUAUAAGAUUGUAAUAUAUUAUUUUGUAUAAGUUAAGAUUGAACAUAUCAUUUAUUAAAUUAAUGCAAUUUUAUAAAUAUUAAAAAAUUUAAUUAUAAUACAAAACCCAAUAAGCCAAAAGAGUGGAACGAAAUCGAGUUCGAACGAUUUUAUAAUUAAAUUUAAAUACGAGCAUUUCACUUCUAAAUAUUUGAAAAUUUCGAUCCCCCUGAAUUAAGUUGAAAGAGACAAAACCGGGAAACAGAUAUUUUCAGGUAGACAGACAGAGAGACGAGUGACUUCACUUGGCCACUCAGUCUUAAUUAUACGCUUCACACGUGCCUGAUUUAAAACAGACUUCAUUUGACACGUUUCCUAUACUUCUCUGAUAUUUUACACCACUCCACCUACCCUACUGCUCUGCCAUUGCUCCUUUCUAUGCAUGCCACCACGGCACCACCUAAUCAACCUAUAUGUAUGUACGUGGGCAAUACAUAUUUAUUAAAGGUUGAGCCUCAGUUUUGAGAGUUCUACCGUCUCGUCUUUAGAGUUUUGUGUGGGAGGUAAAUCACGAAAUGUGUCUCAAUAGAUCAGGAAACAAGAAUUGUCUGUACACUGCACCUACAAGAAGCCCAAUUCAAUAUCUCAAAAAUCGAACCCUCACACUGCAGCUGCCAAUAAGAUGUGUAAUAACCUCACUCCUGUCAUUUAUUAUUUGCAUAAUUGCUUGCUCAUAUAUGUAUAUAUAGGUUGGGCGUAGCGUGGAAAAAAUUGCCACACCCUCAAACUUGAGAUGUUGGUCUGUCACCAUUCUGGAUUAUUCUUCUCCAUGAAAUUGCGUACGUAGAAAAUUUUUGUACAGAAACAGUACAAAAUACACACAUGUAAAAAUGGAUGGAUUAUUUUUUACAAUAUUUUAAUUCACAUGAGAUUCAUCUUAUAUGAGUGUCUGUGAUGUUUUUGUAUAUUACUUUCAAGCAACUUUUUUCUAAAAAAUAUAUAUAUAAAUAUAGAAGAUACGCGCAUGUAAAUUUAAGUGGACACAAUGAAUUCGAAGUAAUGUUACCUUCUAGCUCGAGGCUAUCAAGUUUCUAUUUUCAUUUAUCAAAUAAUAUUUCAUUGCUUGAAAAGUCCAAAUGAAAAAAAUUCAGAAUUUACCGAUUUAAAUCAAGCUCCUUAUAAUGCAGAACGGUAGUGUCUGGGAUCGGGAACAACAAGGAUACAUGACUAUACCUAGAAUGGGUAAAAAAAAAAUAGAGAUUGAAAUAAAUAAAGUGGAAAUCACACGCACCCUUGUUUUUUAACUUACAAUUUCAAAAAUAAAGUUUAAAUUUUUUUUGUACAAAAAUCAUGUGAUAAUUUAAUUUUUUUUAAUAUUAAAUUAAUUUAUAUCCAACCCACCCCACCCCAUCCCACCCCAUCCAUUGUACUCCAAACUCUAAUUCUUGUUCCUUAUCUCUCUGCUCUCCAUUCUCUUUCUCUACUCUACUCUAUCUACCUCUCCUACUCUCUUCCUCAAUGUCGUCGGCGCUUUGCUCACUGUCGCUAUUAGAGCCAGUACAACAACACUGUGAGCAAGCGUGUGCGACGAUCUGAGCGCUAGAGUACCGCUAAGUAUGGUACUCAUAUCGCCCCAAUAGUGGAACUCAAAUGUGACUUUACGAGGCAUCGCCUAUACGAUGGCGGGAUGUCAAUAGUUUUUGGAGUUCGUUGGUGAUCUUUAGAUCUGAUAUGUUGUGGGUGGUUUGUUGAUGGUUGUUUUUAAUUCGAUUUACUGUGGAUAAGGUUGGUCCUGAGAAUUUAGAGACCCUAGCCGUUUAAUUAUUACGAGCUCUCAACACAAAAUUUAUUUUACAAGUCUAACAAUAUUUUAAUAUUCAGAGACAGAGUCACAGACACGUAGAGUUAAUUGUUUGAAUACUCACUGAACUUUAAUGGGCGUCACGUUUCACUCACUGAACUUUACUUUGCACCCAAUUACUCACUGAACUUUGUAAACUUGCACUCCAUCACUCAUCAGGUUAAAGAGUUAAUUGUUUGAAUACUUACCGAACUUUACAAGACGUCACAUUUCACCCACUCAACUUUACUUUGCACCAAAUUACUCACUGAACUUUGUAAAUUUGCACUUCAUCACUCACCAGGAAUCGUUUGUUCUGUUUGCCUAUGUGGAUAACGACUUUAACACGUGUCAGUUAAAUUAGACAAACAUAACAAUGAAUUGCCAAAUCAUAUAUUCAAAAGGACCCAAACAUGCCUCACCGUUUUCACUCAAAAAUGACAUGCCCAGUAAAGGCGAAAAAGAAGAAACAACAAUCGCGAUAUACUAAAAUUCACCUUCGAAGCGGCCUAUUUUAAGAGAUUAGGGUUCCAAUCGCGAUUUAUGUGUUGAAAACGGUGAGGCAUGUUUGAGUCCUUUUGGAUAUAUGAUUUGGCAAUUCAUUGUUAUGUUUGUCUAAUUUAACUGUCAUGUGUUAAAGCCGUCAUCCACAUAGGCAAACAGAACAAACGGUUCCUGGUGAGUGAUGAAAUGCAAAUUUACAAAGUUCAGUGAGUAAUUGGGUGCAAAGUAAAGUUGAGUGGGUGAAAUGUGACGUCUUGUAAAAUUCGGUAAGUAUUUAAACAAUUAACUCUUUAACCCGAUGAGUGAUGGAGUGCAAAUUUACAAAGUUCUGUGAGUAAUUGGGUGCAAAGUAAAGUUCAGUGAGUGAAACGUGACGCCCUUCCAAAGUUCAGUGAGUAAUUGGGUGCAAAGUAAAGUUCAGUGAGUUUCCAAACAAUUAACUCCAGACACGUAUGUAUAGAGAGAGGGAAAGUACCAGUUGCCAAGAAUCAAAAUCACAAAUUGCUCAUAAAUUUUUCAAAUCCUUGUCCCAAUCACUUGUAAAAGCUUUCUCUGUGAAUCAAUGGCAAUUAAAUCAACAUAUCACCAAAAUUAGGAUCCCAUUUCCAAAACAUUAAUAAGUUACUGAAAAACCCAAAUUAGAAAACUUCCAAUCCCAUUUACUGAUUUACGAAAACUUGAAAUUAGCUUUAAUAAGUUUAAUUCAAAUAUUCAAUGCCAUGGUGAAGUCUGGAACGGUGCAACUAAUUAUGGAACCAGAAAUGGGAAAUCAAUACUCAAAGGCAAAGCAUUGAAAGCAAGCUUGGAAUCUUUGAUCGGGAAACCUACAAACUCAAAUAAUAAAAGUGAAAAAGAGGCCCAACUUGCUAUGCUGUCUGCUGAUGUCGUCAAAAUUUUUGCAGUCGGAAUGACUUGUCACCCCUCACCGCCUCACCGGUAAGCGGUAGCUUUAAUUUUAGGAAUUAAUUCUACCUUCUGCCUUGUGGUGGAGAAGACGAUUAAAAGGGAAUAAAAAGAAUAUAUGGAGAAAGGCGGUUCGUUUUCCUGUGCCAAAUUUUUUCCCGUAACAGACGAGGCCUCCUACAAUUUGAGGCCAAAGGCAGUGGCCUCACUUACCUUGGGCCAGGGCCGACACUGACUGUGGGUAGUUUACAUUGUAGGUGGUUUGUUGGUAGUUGUUUGGAGGUGGUUUUCUGAUCCAAUCUGUUGCCUGGCCGAAGUGUUAGAGUGGUUGUUGAUGUUUUUCAUGGUGAGGUGGUGGUAUAUUGGCAACGAUGGUUCAAGUGGUAGUGCUGGUCGUGGUGAGGUGGUGUUCGAUUAGUGACAGUGGUGGAGUAGGAUAGGAUUUUAGGUGAUUGUGACCAAUAAAUUGGUUUAUUUACGACUAAUAAAUAAUAUGUGACUUAAAAAUGUAAUAUUACAACUAUAUUUGUUAUCAUAACUCACAGUUUGUUAAGUUAUGACCAAUUAAUUUGUGAUCAAGAAAUAAUUUGUAAUUAAUAAAUUUGAUAAUAUGUGAAAAUUUUGUAAUUUAUGAUCAAAAAAUAAUGUGGCCGAUUAAUUUGAUAAUUUGUGAUCAAUAAAAAAAUUGUGGCCUAUAAAAUUUAUUGAUUUGUGAUCAAGAAAAUAAUUCGUAAUAAAUUAAUUUGUUAAUUUGUGAUCGAUAAAUAAGUUGUGACCUAUAAAAUUUGUGAUUUGUGACUGUGACGUUCUGUGAUCGUGACAAGUACGUAAUUAUGAUAAUAGCCUAUAUAAUAUUCUAAUCUUAAUAUAUCUAAUGAAUAAAAUAUUUUUAAUUAUUUAUUUAAUUAACAAAAUGUAAUUACGACUUAUUUUUAACUUAAUUUUGAAAUUGUAUUUUGUAAUUACUUUAUACAUGUAAUGUUCACACAAAUAAAUCUCGUAGUCCAGAAAUAAAAAAUAAUUGUCUGUUUGGUCAAUGUUUCAAUGUUCAGUUCAUUUUCAAUUUUUUUGUUUAGAAUAUCUAUUUUAAAAUUGCAAAAAUCUCGUUUGAUUAUUCAUUUUGAAAAAUUAAUUCUCAAAACAAAAAACUAGAAAAUAUAUUUGGUUUGAAAUUUUGAAAAUUAUUUUAUAUCACUUUUUUCAUGAAAUUUGAUUAUUUAAUAAAAAUAGAACAAUUUUUUGAUAAAAACUAUUAAGUUAUAUAUAUAUAGUAAAUUGAGUUCAAAAUAUAUGAAAUAAAAACAAAAACAAUUGAUGUGAACUGAAAAUAUUUUUAUUUGUGUUUAUUUAUAUAUUCUUUUAGAAUUUUUAUAUAAAUAAUUAUUAAGAUUUUGAACUUUUUUUAAUUUUUAUUUUUCUAGAAAAAAUUUAUAAUUUUAUUUUUUAUUUUUUUUAAUUUAUUUUUUUAGAAAUUUAAUUUUUUAAGAUUUAAAAUUUUAUUUUUCGAAUUUUUUUAUUAUUCUUAAAUUUAAUUCGUUAGAGAUUAGAUUUUUAAUUUUUUAAAAAUAUUUUAAUAAAAAUUUUAUUUAAAUACUUGUUUUUAAUGUUCAUAGUGUUUUCAAAAUUUUCACUAAAAACACUCCAAACGUAUAAAAAAAAAGUCGUUUUAAGUUUUAUAUUAUAAGUUCAACUUUGUUUUCAAAAAAUAAACUUUUUAGAAAUUCCAAACCAACUUGUAUUCAGUAUUUUAUAAAAUAAAUAAAUAAAAAAACAAUUUGAAAACAAAAAACCAAACACACCCCUAAGAAUUUGGAGCGUUGAGGCCCUCGUUGGAACUCAUUAAAAUCAAAAUUUAAUGAAAUUUGCAUUUUACAACAGUGGACUCCCGACUUUAAAAUAACAUUUCCCCAUUCACCCGUAAGAUAAUUUAGAAGUAUAAUUCUGCACGUACAAAAUUAUUGGGACAGAAGAAAAAUAGGAUACUCACAUGGGGUGGGACCCAUAUGAAUUUUAUAUUAGAAAAAAAUACACCACCUGCCCCAUGACCCAUAUGAGUUUUAUAUUGGAAAAAAAUACACCACACGCCCCAUGUAUAUGUGUGUUUUUUGAAUUUAUGUAGACAUUCCGUUGAAAUUACCCAACAUUCAAUUUUGAAUGUGGAAAUACUCCAAUUACACAUCUUCUAUUUACCAAAAUGACUCUCACAAUUAUUAACCUGGGGUAAAUUGCAAUACAGCGAAUUGAAGGGUAAUUUGGGAAGUUGAAAAUUACUGCUGCCAUCAGUUUCCUCCUUACGCAACCAAAGUGUUUUCACACACUUGCAGAGUCAACACUUUUUUUUCUUUAAAAUUGACACAAAUUUGACAGUGAAUGACAGGGGGGUCCCAUGGUAGCAGCCAAAUUUUUUUUGGACAAAGCUCGUUAAAAUAGGGAUUAAAUGUCUAAAUAUCUUGCACCCAUAGAACAUUUUGUGUGAUAUAGAUAUUGGACAUUUUGUGUGAUAUAGAUAUUGGAUAAGAAUAAAAUUAUGUUGUCGGAAGAAAAUCGCCAACUGGUUGAUCGAUCCUCUCAAAGUGCAUAAAUCCUUUGAAUAAUGCUCGACAUUCAGGAUGUGUGUGUUCUAUCAUCCAAAGUGUCAACGAUUAUGUUCGUAUAACAUGAUCCAUUGGAUAAAUAGGAUACCUGAAAGCAGGUGAAUAGUUGGAUUGUCAUCUGAAAAUGACGCCUUUGACUUCUAAUAUUUGAAAUCACAAUAAUUUAAACAUUGAUUGAGUAAGAGAGAAGAGAGAGACAGAAUAGAUAGAUAGACCACUCAACAUCUGAAGUGUUAUGAUUUGAGUGAAUAGUUUUUAUUACUUGUGCAUAUGAGAUCAUUUGAUUGAAAGUAUUUUUCUAAAAUCGUGGUAGAAUGAUGGGAGUUGCAACUAGCUGGUAAUCGGCGUGAUAUCUGGAUACAAUUUUGUGUUGUUGUUUUUUUACCUAAGACGCAACAUGUUUUGUAUGGUCGAAUAGUUAAUAUAGUUACAUUCACUUCUAGUUUUGAGAACAAAGACGAAGGACCAUUCGACUCAUUAAGAGCGUGAUCUUCACCCUCUAGUACCAAUUCUAGUAUUCAAAGUAUUAUUAAUUCGACUACAAAAUCACUCAAGAUGGCAAUGCACGAAAGGCCAUAAAAAAGCUAAUAGAAGGGGAAAUUUUGGUUGUUCACAAGUAAACAUAAUUAUAAGUAAUUAUUUAAGUAGCCCUGGGGCAUAGUCCAGUCGUAUAAAGGACAGGAGUGAGGUUAUCUCAUGUCUUGCUGGCAGUCGCAGUGUGGAGGUUUGAUUGCUGAGACAUAGAAUUGGACUUGUAGGCGCAGUGUACAGGUAGCUCUUGUUUCCUGACCUGUUGGAACACAUCCCGCGAUUUACUUCCCUCACAAAACUCUAGGAAUGAAACGGUAGGCACCCUCAAGGUUGGGGUUCAACUUUAUCUUUAAAUAAUUAUUUAAGUCAAAAUAGCAUAAUUAAAUAAUCGAGCAAAGAAUCCGACGACAGCAGUAGUUAGAAGAGAAGAGCCAAUAAUUGCUACCCACGAUGCCCCGACAUCAAAUCAUCUUGUCUCUUCAUCCCUUCAUCCAUGACUCUCUCUCUCUCUCUCUCACACACACACACACACACAAAUUCGUUGUUUAUCUUCAAGGCCAAGACUUUGGACACGAAAUCCCAUAAUCUCUAUUCUCUCUCUGAAUUUGUUUAACUUCGUGGCCAAGACGUUGGACGCGAAAUCCCAUAAUCUCUCUAAAAUUGGAAAAAAUGCAAAGGAGUCAUCAACUUAUUCGAAUUGAGGUAAGUUAGUCCUCAACCAAUACUAUUGGCAAGUAUAGUUCAUAAACCUAUUGUGCUUGCAAGGUUAAAAAUUGCCAAUGAGUCAUCAACUUCAUUCACUUGAAAAUUAACUAUUUUCACAUAGUGACAAGGGUGGUUAAUUUUUCAAACGAUUUGCUAUGAUGAACGUGAAAUAGCAUUAAAAUUAUGCCCUUGUUUGAGCCUCAUUCUUUUCGAAAAAUACAUUUUUCAAUAGUGUUCUGACAUCAUUUCAAUCACACAUUCUUCAAUAAAAUAAUAUUACACGCAAAUUCAAAAUUUUUCCUUAUUUUUUAACCAUACAUUUAUCAUCAAUACACUAUUCAAAAAUUCAUUCUUCCCAAAAAAAUGGGGCUCAAACAAGGGCUAUAUGGACGAUUGAGAACUAACUUUAAAGAUGCAAUAAAUAUUUGAAAAUAUUUUAAAGUUCAGUAAAUGUUGGGAAAUAACUUUAAAAAUAUUGUGACCAUUCCAAAAAAAAGUAGAGUUCAAUUGGAAAAUAAGAUUGACAAUACAAUAUUCAUAGACACAUUUUACGUUGUUUGCAAAACAAGGGUUAUGAAUUGAUGGAAAUCGAUUGUUAAAGAAUCAAAAGAAACGAGCAUGUAUAAAGUUCGAAAAAUUGUGGCGUCACUCGCAAUUCAGAAUUCAUAUAGAAAUCUGGAUACAAUGUUUAAACGAAGUAUUUUGCUCUUCAACCUUUCAAUAUAUUUGCAAUUAUUAUCUUUAUAGUGACCAUUUGUUACAAGAUUUUUCAAGAAUUGAAUAAGUACCAUCAUUAUUGUCGAUUUCUCUCAUUAGCAUCCACUCAUGGUUGGAAAAUAGGAUUGUAAAUACCUUUCAUGCGGUAGCCGAAUUGGUGGAGUAGAGUAGGUGAACUCGGAGACCUUUGGUCACGAGUUCAAUUCCCCCUACCAAAACUUUUUAGGUCGAGUUUGUCGCACAGGGCUUACCUAGUGCGGUUUACGUGACUGGCGUGAUUUGCAGACUAUUGCAUUAGUUCGAGAGUUUACCCAGUGCGCACUAGAAGGGUAGCGACUGCAAGUUCCCUCGUCAUAAAAAAAGGAUUGUAAAUGGAUCGGAUCUGUCCGAAUCCGAUCCUAUUCGUUAAGAAUAAUUAUCCGAUUUGAUAAUUCAACGGAUAUUUGAUUGUUAGAUCCAUAUUCAAUUUACUAAUCAAAUUCUAAGUUCGAGAAUUAAAAGGCUCGAAUAGUUUUUUAUCCAAAUCUUGGCUCACCUAUUUAUAGAUUGUAAACUGUUGGCUCAUUUGUUUAUUUAAUUAAUAAAAUUAAUUAAUUAAUUUUUUUAUCUUAUUUUAAUUAAUAAAAAAAUUAAAUCUCUUCAAAUAUUUCAAUUAACAAUAUUAUACUAUUAUCUAAUACUAUUUAUUAUUUCAAAAUUAUAUGUAAAUUAUAAUACAAAUUUCAAAAUUAAAAAAAAAUAUAUGUGUAAUAAAUCACACAAUAGUAUAUAAAAUAUGUUAUAUUAUUAUAAUAAAUCGGAUUGAGUUGUUAUUGAAUCUAAUUAACCUAUAUUCAUAUUUGUUUCAUUUAGUUAACGGAUUAUUAGAUUCAAAUUUUAAUCGGAUUUAGACCCUAAAUGCAUCUCCCAAUAAUUUUAUGGGAUUCGGAUCAAAAUUCAAUCAAUCGACAAUCUUAAUUGGAAUGCUACAAAAAGGGGGAAGAUCGAGAACACUUAAGUCAUGUAUUAAAUUGAUGAAGAAUUUAAUGUAUUUUCUAGUUUUAUCCUCAAUAAUUUAGUUUAUUUUUUUUGUAUGUUGUCACUAUUGUUGAAUUUGAGGAUUUUUAAUGCUUGCUUGCAAAUUGUGAAUAAGUUUAAGAAAAAAGGGGGGAAAAAAACAAAAGAAAAAAGAGAUAAAAACCCGAACAUAUAACGAGAAAAGGUGGAAUUCUACGAAUGUUGUGAUCGCCAUUAGUCCGUGGUGCCACAAUUUUUAUUUUUUAUUUUUUUAUAUAUAUUUCAAUACUACUUUAUUUAUUUUGUAUUAUAUUUAACUCAUUUUUCGCAAUAGUAUCUCGCGUCCUUGAACAUACUGUUUUAAGGAUUAAAAUGUAUUUUUUGAGACCAAAUUACUACAACAUCUAUAGAUUGGGGGCUAUUAACUACAAUUCUUCCAUUUAAAGUCAUCAUCAGAACCUACAUCUUUGAUUCAUAAAUCAUAGUCAUCGACACUAUUAUUCUCACUCUUCUAAAUUUUGAUAAAAAAAAAUAUUGAAAUAUAUGAUUAGACUAAAUUAUUGAUUUUAACUUAAAUUUUAAUUACCCCUAGCUUCCAUUUUGUGGAAAUGAAAAUGAGAGAAAUAAUAUUUUUUUAAAAAAUAAUGGUUGAACAAGAAAGAAAAAUUUUCGAUUUAUGUAUAAUAUUAUUUUAUAAAAGAUUGUGUGGUUGAAAAUAGGAAGAGAAAAAUGAAAUUAUGCUCCCGUUUGGCCCCAUUAAAUUACAUUCAAUUUUUCUCUCUCCGAUUUUCAACCAUGCAAUCUUCUUUAAAAUAAUAAUACACGUAAAUCAAAAUUUUUUUUUUUUCAACAAUUUAUUUUUCAAAAAAAUAAUUUCACCUAUUUUAUUACCAAAAAAUGGGGGACCGAACAGGGGUAUAACGGAAUGGAAAUUAACAGGGGUCAAACGAUAGCUAUAAUAUCAAAUAGGGAUCAUAUAAUAUUAGAAAAAACAUAAAAGUGGUUGGGGGUAAAUUAUAAACAUAUUUAAAAGCAAUCAUAAUCAUUUUCACAUUACGUAAGAUAUUAUUGAUGUCUCUUCGUAUAACAAUUUCCUCCUUUUUAUUAAUAUGGACACUAUUAUAUAAACAAAUUGUACGAAUUAAUGAAAGAUUGAGAGAAAAAACAUUGACAAUAAAAGAUUGAAGACCAAAUACUUCUAUAGCCAAAAAGUUGAGAGCGAAAAUGUAGAUAUAUUUAAUCCAUUUAUGGGAUGAAUUGAGUCAGAAAUAAUAAUAAUAAUAAUAAUAAUAAUAAUAAUAAUAAUAAUAAUUUAUCUUAUCCUAUUCGAAAUUUGCUAUAUUAAAUUGAUCUAAGCUGAUCAAACAAUUAAAAUAUUAUUUUAGCAUACUAAAUUUACAAUAAUAUCAUUUCGUAUUAACUAAAAUUCUUUUACGUUGUUGAAUUUGUCUGACAUAUUUUUUUGAGAAUAAAUUUUAUGAAAAAUAAUUUUUUUUUCAUAAUAAUGCGUAGUUUAAAAAGUAAGAAAAGUGACGAAUAAACGUAUAAAAUCAUUUUAUUGAAAAAAUGAGUAGUUAAAAAUGAAUUUGAAGAAAAAUAAAGUUUAAUGAAUAUAUAUCAAAAAAUGGUUUAAUCUCUACUCUUCAACCAUGCUUGUGGAUAAUUAUUCUUAUUGAUUACAUUGCCAAUCAUGACCAGUUACUCAUAUGUGAGCAGAAUACAACGUUGGGUGAAGAUUAAGGAUUUAGAUCUAAAUAAUUAAUUAUUUAAAAAUAAAUUAAACAAAGACCAAAGUGUCAAUUAAAAUAUAAAAUGGAGAGCAUGAUUGAUUAUACUGUACAUUUCUAAGAAUAUAUUAAAAAUUCAAUCCUUAAUCAUAACAAAUUAUAUACCAUAUGAUUUGUUCUUUGUUUCAUUCUUAAAUUUAUUCAAAGUCUAAAAUAAUUAACACCUUAGCAGCCUAACAAGCCAAAUAGCAUUUUGGGAUAGCUUAAAAAGAGUGGAAAUUAUUUAGAAUUUUUACUUUCUUGAAAGAGUAAUGCUAUUCAUGGUGAGCGACCAUCGUAGUUAUCCUAUGGCAUAUAUCUAAUUAUUUAGGAGGAUGUUCUCAGCUGAAAUUUUGAUAAAUUUUAAAAAAUUAUAAAUUCUAAUGAAGGGGGUGUCCCAACUAAGAUUUUAAUAGAUCUUAAAAAUCAUUCUAAAUUAAGUAGUCCACAAUUGAGAUUUUAUGAAAUCAAUUUACAUUUAGGUGUUCUUAGUGACAUAUUAAUUUAUAUAGAUUUCGUUAGUAGAGGAAUUUUAAAAAAUUUGGAUGAAUUUUCAAGUUUAAAAAUACAUAAAAUAAACUAUUUUCAAAUUUCACAAUUUUUAAGGAGAAUCUUAAAACAUUUUCAAGAGAUUUUGUAAAUACAAAAUAUUUUUUAUUUUAAAGAGCUAAUGUUUAAAAACAAGCUCCAAGAAACUCUUUAUUGUAAUUUUUUGAAACAAACUAUCUAUUCUUAAUGUACAAUGAUUGUAUCUAUUAAAUAACAGAUUUCAAUAUUUUAUUUCUUAAACUAUUCCAACUACAUUUAAUCUAGCGGUUCUUCUUAAAUUAAAUAUCCAAAUGGGUAUCUAAAUUAAAAAUCGUCAGAUUUGGUUCGGUUCUUGGGUUUAGAUCAAGAAUUAAAUCUCCUAAAUUUUUUUAAUUAAUUUAUUUUAAAUAUGCCAAAUUAUUUUAUUUUUUCUAAAUAAAUUUGCUAACUAGUUAAUUUAGUUUAAAUCCAAAAAUAUGAUUUUUCUAUUUCUAAUUUUCAAUUCAAAGCAAAUUUAAUCAAAUUGGCCUAUGUUUUUAAUCCAAAUCUGUUAUUCUACCAUAGUAUCAUUUCUAUCGUUUUGGAGAAAUCGAAUUGAAACUCCAUAAUCUUCUAUUAAUUAUUUUGAGCUUGCUAUCUUCCAUUUUCUAUAAUUUUAACAAUCAAAUCUAUGAAAAACUCAGCAAAGAGAGGUUCAAAAAAAUAUAAGAUUGGACUACGUUAUUUUGUAAGAACUGUAAUUGAACACAUCAUUAGUUGGAUUAAUGCCACUUUGUAAAUAUUAACAAAUUUAAUUAUAAUACACAACUUGGGAAUCGAACCAAAAUCAAACAGUUCCAUAAUUAAAUUUGGAUUUGACCGUUCCACUUACUAAAUACUAAAAAUUUUUGGGCCUGAUUCGAUUCUCAUUAGAAUCGAACUGAAACAUGCCCUAACAUUUGAUUGACCAUUGAUAUAUAUAAAAUUAUGUUAAGAUCCCGUUUGAUUCCUAUUUUUUGGCCAAAAAAAUAAAAAAUAUGACCGAUAUUUAUUACAUAAAGUCACCAUAUUUGACUUUUUAUUUCUUGUGUAGAUUCCGUAACGACUAUAUUUUUCAUUCUUAUUUUUAGAAAAGUGUGAAUCAAAUAGGCUCUAAAUAAAAUAUGAGGAGAAGUCAGAGUCUGUUUGGUGCACAUUUUUUAGAUGAAAAUGCAUUUUAAGCAUCAUAUCGCGGGUCCCCCAUUAGAGUGUAGAAGUCAAAAAUUGUGUGCUGAUGUGACGGAAAAAAUGCAUUUUUGGCUCAAAAAAUGAGUACCAAACAGGAGCUCAAUAAACAUUUAUUGAGAAAAGUAUAAUGAACUAAAAUAGAGAAUAUUAUUGUAGUACAUAAAAAUUUUGACUCACUAACUUAAAUAUGCUCUCAUUAAGCAUAAAUAAGGAGUUUUUGUUGGAGAUGCUCUUAUAGAUUUCAUGAGAAUCUAGAAUCUCAUUAAAAAUGAAGAAAUUUGAAAAGAGUUUGUUAUAUGUAAUUUUAAGUUUGAAAUUCAUCCAAACCUUUUAAAAUUUCUCUAUUAAUUAAAUCUAUAUAAAUUAAUGAGUUAUUGACAAUAUCAAAAUUUUAUUAAAUUUCAUUAAAAUUUCAAUUUAGGAUACCUAAAUUUCAAUAAAAUUGAUCAAAAUAUUUAUUUGGAGCAUCUGAAUUUAAAAGAAUUUUUAAAAUUCAUCAAAAUCUCAAUUAAUAACGCCCUCGUUAAUCAUCUAUACUAUUUUUCUUAAUUUCUAACUCACGUAUUUACUUAUGAAGAUCGGUUAAAUAUCCCAUUUAUCCUUGAACUUCUACACAUAUUUACUUAUUUUAUUAACAUACACUCCUAGUUAUUUCAUUUAUGGAUCACCACAUUAGCAUAAUGGUUAAAGGGACAUUGAGCCUUUGUUUGAUUCUUAUUUUAUGGAAUUCAUGAUUUUUCAAUAUCAACAUUUAUCAAAAUCUAAUAAAAAGCCAAGGGAGAUGGAUGGAGGGACAUAUGAUAAUCAGAUAUGGAAGUUUGACACCGGAUUAAAAGAAUUUAAAAUUUAGGGACGUGUGAGGAACAUAGGUGACCGCCCCACCCCCAAAACCAGAAAUCACCAAAAUACUUCCCCUCUUUCUCCAUCUUUUCCGUGAAAGUCAGCGCCUUUCUUGAUUAGAAGGUGGGUGCCAAAGAUUUGAGCUACCUUUUGGAGAAGUGCAGUUGUAGACUUGGACACUUCAUAACCUCAACAGAAGACGCAGUUAGUUUGGUCUAUUGUUUGUGAAUCUGGGCAAUAGCUAAAUUUGCUUUUGGUGUAUUUGUAAGCUCUUCAUUACUGGCUUGGUCAAAGUUACAAUUUCCAGCUCUUGCCAUAUUUUGAUUCUUCCAUGUAUUCCGUGACUAGAUUUUUAGUUCAGUAUCUUUGUUGUUUUCAUUUUCCCAGAUUUAUAUCCCAUUGGAGGGAGUUGGGCAAGAGAAACUUGAUGCUGAGUUUAAGCUAAGUUCUUUUGAUAUCAAAUUCCAUGUGUGCUGGUUUUGAAUUUCUGGUUUUUGGGGCCGGGUUGGGGCUGGGGCGGGGGUGAAGAAGUGUUACUGGUGGCUCAACUGGUUGCGACACGUGGCAGGUGAAUGAGGCGGCAGAGGGUGAUUGCUUUGCUUGGCCGGAUCUUGCUAUUUCUACAUCCACACUAGGAAAAGGUCUCAAUUGAAACCCCCCCACCCACUCAAAAAAAAAAAAAAAAAAAAAAAAAAAAAAGGGAAGGGAAAAAAAAAAAAAAAAGAACAAGAGGGUUUAUUUCAUGUUUUGUGCUGUUCAAAAUAGUACCUUUGUUAGGGUUUAAUGGUACAACCAGGCAUGAGAUUUUGGUAAAUGUACAAGAUUAGAUGCAUGUUGGUUUUACAGAAGUAGAGCUAUUAGUACAAGAGAGGAAGGAUAUUUCUAUGGAGUUAUAUUGUAAAUUUCUUGGGGUAUGUUGUUUUACAAUAUGAAAGAUUAAAAUAAUUUUUGGAAGCCCUUUUUACUUUGCAAGUAUUUAAUGCCUUGUGUUUGUUUUUCCCCUUGUUUUUGUUGGAGGAGCGAUCAAGGAAACAAAGCUUUUAGGGCAUGUUUAGUUUGGUCACUAGAUACAUUUCUUAGAUAAGAAAUGUAACAUUAGUCUGUAUAUGAUCUUUAAUGAUAAAUUAAGUUAUAAGUUAAAUGAGUUCGUUGAAUUUAGCACUCUUUUGGUAGCAAUUUUUAAUCUCAACAAAUUGACUUUGAUUGUUAUUUUAGUAUUUUAAUCGUCAUUUUUGACUUUUUCUUUCAUAGAUAUGAUUCAUUUUUCUUUUUAACAAUAAAAA
rnacentral:lncRNA from 1 species